rnacentral:lncRNA from 1 species
UUUUUUCUUUUUAAGUUAAUGUGUAUCUUCAUUGUAAAUCUGAUAUAGGAGCUGCCGGUUCAGCAGAGAGCAGAUGCGGUAAGUAGUUUAGUAUACGAAGCAAAUGCAAGAGUGAGGGACCCUGUAUACGGAUGCGUUGGGGCCAUAUCCUACCUUCAAAACCAAGUGUCGCAAUUGCAGAUGCAGCUGGCGGUGGCUCAGACCGAGAUACUUUGCAUUCAAAUGCAGCACCACCAGGAGGACUCGGCCUUGGCCUUGCCCACUCAAAUGCAACACCAUGAUGAUGAUGAUUACAAGCCUUUCCUUUUACCCACUACUCAUAACUUAGAUAACAUCUCCCAAUACAUCAAUUUCGCUUCUUCUAGCAAUGUAAUCCAAGACCCUGCUGCAACUGUCAAGAGAGAGUCUCUUUGGACUUAAAUAAAUAAAGUUAGCUCCUUUUGCCUUUCUAAAAUGAAACCUUAAUCCACGUUUUUUUUAAUUUCUCUCCCAUUUUUCUUUUUUGGUGGGAAUAUGUAUGGUUUUUGUUUUGGGGCUUGCCCAAAAUCAUCCUCCAAUAUCCCUGCUUAAUUAAAAGCAUUGAGUUGGUAUUAUCAUUAAAUUAGAUACUAAUUUAAAUACUCUUUAAUCUUUAUAUAUUAUUUUGAUUUUUAGAGUUUUUUUAUAUAAAAAUAAAUUUAAAAUCUAUUUAUAAAUAUAUGUUUUACAUCAAUAAAAGUCUCUAAGGAGAGAAUAUAAGUUUGAACCUUGGAGAAAAUACUCUUGAAAUGAACAGCUAUAAAUCUCGAAACUAUUAAUUAAUUCUAACAAAACCCUAUUAUCAAAAAUAUUUUUAUUUUUACUAUUUUAUAUAAAAUCUACGAAAAAUACUCAAAUUCAUUGUUUGAAGUUUAAUAUUUCACCACAACUACAUUUAAUUUUUGAUUUUUUAUAAAUUAUUAUAUACAUAAUUUUCACCAACGAUGUGGCAUAACAUAGAUAUAUAAUGUUAUUGGGAUGUGGAAAGGGGAGAUUAAUUAUGAUGGAAGGGGUCAAACUUGCAUGUGAGGCAACGAGAAUAUUAGGGUUUUAAUUAGACUUUAGAAAGCUUCUCUUUCUUCACAAACACGCCAUUAACUUAUAAUGGAUGGUUUGUAAUUUUGUUUGGUCUAAACCUAUGGUUAAUCCUUUUUCACUUUGACAUUCAUCGAAAACUAUUGUGUAUAUUUGAUUCAAUCGAUGUUUCACUAAAAGGUAAGACCACAACCACUCAUCGCUAAUAUAUUUUCCAUAAUUAAUCACAAGAACAAUAUUUAUAAAACUGAAAUUAAUGUCACCCAUAUCAUGCAACCCUAACCCCAACAGGUUUGGAUUUACUAUCCGCCCCUUGCACAAAAGAGAAAAUAGUAGUUUAGUUGUUUAAAUAUAACUAUUAAGUUGGUUCAUAUAUAUAAACAUAUUUCACGUUUGAUAUCUAAUCAAUGUGGGACUAAACUUUCUAUUUUCCUCAACAUAAUUCACAAGUGGUUUACUCUGAGCAUCAAUUUCUCAUUCAUCGCUCAAUCAUUUUGAGCAUAUGAUAUACCGUUUUAAAGAUCUCAUGGAGAGAAAUACAAAACCAUAGUUUUAUGAUUCAAAUCUUCAUUUUUACUAAUCGAGAAUAUGCCUCAAAACUUCUAAAAUAUACAUUUUUGAGACACUUGUAUCAAUAUUGACCAUUAAAUAUACUUGUUAAGUCCCAUAAUGAUUUGCUUUUGAGAUGACUAACUUCAAUCAAAUAUAGAGAUUUAACUACAUGUUUUAACCAUCUGGCUCUUUAAAUAAAACUAACCAAGUUGGGUCAAUUAUAAUUAUUGUUUAAUAAAAUUCAAAUUAGAUUAAGAUCAGUGAUCUAUAUUAGAAUCAAGAAAUGGAUUAGUAUGUUUGGAGGAACACAACUAGUGGAAUCCAAACUCAAGCUAAAAUUUUAUAUUAGAGUUGAGGAAAAAUUUUAAUUGUAAUUUUUGAGAAAAAUUAAAUUACUUAUUUUAAAAAAAAAAUUAUUAUAGUUUUAAUAGAAUCAAUAAUUCCAAGCAUUAAACUGGAUAUUUAAGUCAAAAAUUAAUUUAAUUGAAACUGACUAAUAAUUAGAACAAAUAUAUAGAAGAAUUCACAUGUUUACACAGGUGGUAUUCAGAGUUACUGUUUUAUGUAAUACUUUCACACUAUAUAUGUAUAUGUAUAUACUUUUUUAUAUACAAUAUAUACAGUAAGAGAUGGGGUCACACGGUUUGAAUCCGUCGUAAACGAGUGUCUAACAAGAGUUUUAAUCAUCACUUCAUUCAAGUGCAUAUGUAUAUACUUUGGCACCAUAUAUAUAUAUGCUAAAACUUUCAUUAACCUACUGUUACUGACAUGGGGAGAUAUAAUUAUGAAGUACUCUCUUUAUAAAGAAAGCUUAAAUAUAUUUAAUACUAUAUGAUAUAUAAAUAUUUGAGCAUAUGCUUAACUGUUUGUUAGUGCAUUGGAUUAGGAUUUACCUGAUAUCGGCUCAUCAACCUUAUUGCAAAAUAGAUUUUUGGACGUGUGGAUAACAUAACAUGCAUGAGGCUGUUGGGAAAUGUGUUUAUAUUGCAGUAAACAUGUAAUUGUUUUCUAUGUAUUUGAGCGAUGAAUAAAUAAAUAAAGUUAAUUUCACAUUUCACUAUUAUAUCUUUUGUGUUUCUAUCUUUCAUGUUUUGCAUACAUAGUGAAAUUGUGACAAGUAAAUAUUAGUUCAUUGAUUGUCUGAGUUCAAACUAAUGAUAAGUGGCAUUGUAAGAAUGUUUACAUUGCGAGAAAGACAACUUAUUUCAGUAGAUAAUAUAAACGAGUCCAUAAUCCCAUAAAAGAAUCAAAGUGAGUAUUUGAUUCAAAUACUCGGAAAGCUUUUAUGCCAUCUACAAUUCCAAUUAGGGAGAUGACUAGUCUUGUGUAGCAUCCCAAAAAUUUUUGGAGUCUUGAACAGUGAUAAAUAUACAAUAAAUUUGUCAAAAUUUUGAGAAAAGUCAGAAAUUGGAGAUUUAAAGAGCUAUGAGACAUAAAAGAUAGGUGCCUAAGAUAUUUGGAAAAGUAUAAAUAUUAAUAUAAAUUUAUUUGGGGAAACGAUUAAAUUAAUGGAAAGUAUUGGGACAAGGUAAGAAAAUUGGGUGUUGAAGGAUUAAAUUAAAUUGAUGAAAAAUGAAGAGAGACUAGAGGUGAAAAUAUACCAAAGGAGAUAGGACACAUGGGUGUUAUUAUAGACAAAGUGAAAGGGUAAAAUGAUAAAAGAAUUAAAAAGAUAAUUAUGAAAAAGUAAUGAUUUAAUUGUAAUUAAGUGGAAAGGGCAAGAUAGUAAAUAAUAUAAAAAGAUAUUUUUGUAUAGAUAAAUUGAUGGAAGAAACUAGAGAAAUGGAGAAAAGAAAGGAUGAAAUGAUUAUAAAAGGCCAUUAAGCCAUGGUACUUCAUGUCUGCCACCAUUUUCCCACCAUUUCAACUUUUAUUUUUCUUUUAAUUUAGUCCCUUUCACCAAAUACAAAUCAAUUAAGCUGGUUUCUUCUAAAUUUCUUCAAGAUUAGUGAGUAAAAUUAGUAGAGCAGUGUAGUAAUUACCCAAUUGUUAAAAGAAAUGCAUCCAUAAUUGUCUCGGAGGAGAGAGAAAAUAACAAUUAGUGUUGAAUACUAGUGAUUAAGAAAAAGUGAAGGGAAGUGAGAAACAAGUAGAGAAAUAAGGCAAAUGAGGAGCUAAAGGAGGAAGAAGAGGAAGAAAGCUUGAUUCCAUAUUUUGAGUUGUAACUACAACUAGAUUCUUACUUGUUCUGAAUAUGAAGUUAAUUGUUAGAAUGAAUAUAAUUUUAAUAUGGUAUUUAAUUACAAAUUUAUAAGUUGAAUAAGUGAAGAAUAAGGCUUGAUAAUGAUUAAAUAUAAUAAAUAAUGAAUUGAUUGUAUUUAUUAAGUAAUAUAUGAUAAAGAAAUUGAAAGAGAUGUGAGAAAAGAUUUAGAGUGCAAAAAAAAAAAACUAAAUUAUAGAGGAUGUAAAAGUUGAUGGAACUAUAUAUUUAUGUAAGUAAAUGUGAAGAGAAAUAUCUGAAAUAAUGAUAUGUGAAAUAAUGUACAGAUAUUUGAUUAAAAAAAUUGAAAGACAAGGAUUAGUGUGUUAAAAGCGUAAAAUAACAUGAAAAAGAAAGAAUUAAUAAAGAUUAGUGAUGAAUUAUGGAAAUUAUAUUAAUUGGUGAAACAUGUUACAUGUAUUAAAAGAAUUAUGAAUUCUAUUUGUGGAUUUGAUGCCUCAAGGACAAAAUUUAGAAGAAAAAAAAUGAAAUUGACAUGUGAAUGUGAUAAGAAAUUAUGGUGGAAUAUGGAAGUUAAAUAGAUAAAUGAAAUAUGUUAUAUACGAAAUUGAAAGAAAAGGAUGUUGUUACAUGAGAUGUCAUGAUGAGGUAUAAAUUGUAAAAUAAGUAAAAGUGAUAGGUGAAAUGUAUAAUAAGAAUUAUUAGUGGAAUUAUGGAAGAUUAUUCAAUAUCGAGACAAGUUACAUGUGUUAAUGAAAAAGGAAGAUAUAAUUAUACGAAGUAUUGUUAUAAGGAUUAAAUGGUAAAAAGUGUAAAAGUGACAUGUGCAUAUUAUGACUUGCCCAAGUAGACUAGAUAAGAACUAUUGGGAUAUUAGUGGCAUGCCAUUAAGGAACCUUAGUGCGCUCUCUGAUUAUUAGCACGUUAGUGCUCUCUGAUUAUUAGCACAUUAGUGUUCAUCGAUUAGCACAUUUGAGCUCUCUGUUCAUCCGUUUCGGCGAUGUUCUAUUCUGUUCUGUAUAUCCUGUGUGUUCUAUUAAGUCUAUUGGGCCUCUGAAAAAGGUACAAAACGAUUUAGCGAUUAUUGAAUUAUAUAGAUUAUAUGUGUUGAAAAGUGAGAAAAAAAAUGAUUGAAAUAAGUAAAGUAAAUUAUUAGAAAUUUUAGCUUAAUGGAGUAAAUGAGAAUUUAAAGCAAAUCAUGUGAUUCUAGUAUUAUAUGGAUGUUAAUUAAAUCAAUAUGUUUAGUUGGUGUUUAAUGAGUAAAUAAUAAAUGUGGACCUAAUUGUAAGAAUAAGUGAAUUGAUUGGUAAAUUAUGUAUGAUGAAUACAAACAAGUCAUUUAAAUGUUUCUAUGUAGUAAAAAUAAAUAAGUUAUAAGUUAUAAUAUAGAUUAUGAUCUAAAUAUUAGUUGUACUUACUAAGCUAGCAAUAGCUUAACCCGUGUUCAUACGCGUAGGUUAAAAGUAGAGGAAAAUGAUUUUUGAAGAUUGAAGACACCUCAUCUCAUCACAUCAGUGGAUCCGAGAAAGGGCAAAUUAUCCCUUGAAUUUCAAAUUUAAACAUGAUUAUUGAAAUCCACACAGUCACGUUCCCUAUUUUUCACAAUGGCCUUUCUUUCACUUUAGUAUAUUGUUCUAAAUGUAAGAAUGGUAAAAAAAUUUAUUUCGACUUAUCUCGAACAUCAAUAAUUAAUAUACUAGAACAACGAAACUAAUAUGUACAAAUUAUAAUGUUAUUUUUAUUUAGAACUUAUUAUUAGAGUUUCUGAAAACCAAUGUAGCACUUCUAUACUUGAUCCGGUAAUCAGGUUGGGUUUAGGGGUGUUACAUCUUGGCUAUCAGAGCAGUUGGCUCCACGAGUAGGGGUGUGCAAAAUUCGGGUAAAAUCAAAAAAAUUAAUAAAUAAAAUUAUAAUAUAUAAAUAGGCCCACUAUUCACCUAAACCCAAUCCAAACCCAAGUAUCCAACUCAAUCAUAAAAAUUACAAAUAAUUUAAUAAAUAAAAAUAAUUUAAUUUCAAGACUUAUGUAAUGUUAGUGAUUCAAAGACUUAUGUAAUGUUUUUAAUUAUGUAGUGAUUCAAUUCGGUUAAUUCGGGUAAUUCAGUUAAUUCGGUUAAUUUUUAACCAAAAAAAAACAUAUAAUUUUUGGUUAAUUCGGUUAACCGACCGAAUUAACCGAAAAAAUUUCGGUUCGAUUAACGGUUAAAAAUUUUGAAAGGUCGGUUAAUUCGGUUAAUGUUAUUUCGGGUCGUUUAACCGAUUGAACACCCCUAUCCACGAGUAGAGACACAGAUGUACUCAUUGGAAGAAUGAUAUAUUGGAUUGGACCCAAGUUGAAUUAAUUUUGAAUCUGUUUGUGAAUUGAUUCACUUGUGACGUUCAUGGUGUGACUUACCUAAAUCAUGAGUUAGCCACUAACCAUGCGUAUAUAACUCAUGUGCUUUGAUAUAAGUGGAGACUUAUGCUUGAGUUGAUAGUCGGUAUGUUGGGUACAUGACUUGUGUAUGGCAUGACUUUAUUAGUAACAAUGAAAUUCAAACUUCAAAAUCGAAAAAUUCAAAUUUAAAACAAUUCAGAAUUCAACUUCGCGGCUUAAUUAAGUCCUAGUUUAAGAAUACUUUUCAAAAAUACUUUUGGAAAAAGAAAUCACUUUUGAAACAAAAAUAUUUCUAAACAAACUAUUUUUGUAGAGAAAAGUGCUUACAUCAAACCAAAAAUUAACCUAAAAACACCUUUUGUGACCCUAAAAAAUACCCUUUUUUCCAAAAGCAUUUUUAAGGAGUAUUCUUAAACUAGCUAACAACAAAAAGAAGCAAAGGGAGGGACAUCCUCAAACCCCGUGUCUUUGCCCAAUGAAUUUUCUGGUCAAAGUUAUUACACGAUGGACCUAAAAUGUUUUGGUCAAAAUUAACUGCUAAAUUAUCAAUUUUAUCUUGUUUUACUUUAAAAAAAUUUGAGGUCCAAUAAAAAGGUAUGAAGUGUUAUGUUUUCAUUAGAAACUAUCCUGUUUUGAGAAAAAAUUGAAAAUUUUCCCAAUUAUGACUUUUAGCAAAAAGAAAAGAAAAAAGAAGAGGACUAAUUGAGAAAAAAGGAUGUAAUUAGAGGACUAAUUUUGGAUUUAAGCCAAAACAAAAUCAAAAUCUUUUAUUCAAAUCGCUCUGCUUUGACAAAAACAUUAAAAUUGAAAAGGAACCCCAAAUUCUUGGAACCCUAAGGCGACUUGUCCAACUUCAUCUCUGACUUUUAGAGCUUCAAAUUAUCCCCCAGUAAUAAUAAGAACCUUUAAAAACAAAGCCCUUUUUCUAUCUUUUCUUUCUAUUCCCGCAUCUCUUAGAAUUAUUCCAUUAAGUCUUAAUCUUUCAAUUUAGAAGAAUAAAUCUUUGAAUGAUUCCUUCAUUCCAAUAAAAAAAAAAACCCAAAUCUUUGUUUUUGAUGUCAACAGAAGCUGCCACAACAAAUUUCCAAAGUUCAGAUUUCCAGCCGGUGGCACAGCCGCCGGAUUUCCGGCCGGAGGUGACUGUCAGUCCCCAUGACGGGCUCCGCUUUUGGCAGUUCAUGAUUGCUGGCUCCAUAGCCGGCUGCGUUGAGCAUAUGGCUAUGUUCCCAGUUGACACCGUUAAAACCCAUAUGCAAGCUCUCGGGUCUUGCCCCAUAAAAUCAGUGGGUGUACAUCACGCGCUCCGUUCCAUCCUCAAAUCGGAAGGCGUACCGGGGUUAUACCGGGGAAUAGGGGCAAUGGGUCUCGGGGCGGGUCCGGCCCAUGCCGUUUAUUUCUCCGUGUACGAAGUUUGCAAGAAGUAUUUCUCGGGUGGGGACCCGAAUAACUCCGCUGCUCAUGCGGUUUCCGGCGUUUUCGCGACGGUCGCGAGCGACGCCGUUUUCACCCCUAUGGAUAUGGUGAAGCAACGAUUACAGUUGGGCAACAGUGCUACUUACAGAGGGGUUUUGGAUUGCGUUAGGAGAGUGUUGAAAGAGGAAGGUUUUGGGGCGUUUUAUGCUUCCUACAGGACGACGGUGGUCAUGAAUGCGCCGUUCACGGCCGUUCAUUUCGCCACUUACGAGGCGGCGAAAAGGGGUUUGAUUGAGAUUUCACCGGAGAGUGCGAGUGACGAGCGGGUCAUUGUGCAUGCUACGGCUGGUGCCCUUGCCGGAGCUUCAGCUGCCGUUGUCACUACGCCGCUUGAUGUAGUUAAAACUCAGCUGCAAUGUCAGGUAAGUCAAGGCCCAUUUUUCUUACUUGCUGGAUUUUUGCUAAAGCUUUAAUCUGUUUAUGCAAUGCUUUUAGGUUUAAAACUUUUUGAGGAUUCAAUUAGAAGGAUUUAAAGUUUGGGAUCAAUUUAAAGCAUGGUUCUUAGUUUGAGGACAUUUGCUGUAAUUAACCCAUUUGAAGAUUGUUAAUGCUUUUGUUAUCUUGAUUUAAACCUUACAAAUCCUCCAUUUUUAAUCCCUCUAAAUUUAGAAACAUGCAUUUCAAUCCCGAUGCCAACUUUUUUACAUUAAUUCUGUUGUAUAAGAUGUGAUGAUGUGGCAUAUAGACAUUUGCAAUUUUCUUCUUAAAAAAGAAUUACAUGAAACUGGGAUUACACUUUGUCCCUAUCUCUCUCUAAUAGUAGAAUGACAAUCAAGAGGAAAAAUGUUAUUUGUCGUUCUUUUAUUAAAAAGGGAUGAAGAUACCUGAAAUCACAGUUUAUUUCACAUUUUAGAAAGAUAGAAAAGUAUAACAUUUGUCAAACUAUACAUUUCGAGAAGUAUAUGAUGAAAUUAGAAUAGAGGAUUCAAAUCGGCCUAUAGGGACCUUGUAUGCAAUUUUAAGUAUCUAGCGUUGCUUCUAUACAAUUUACUAAAGCAUGCUUUCCCUUGUAUACAAUACAUGUGCAUUUAAGUGCUUGCUCCAUCUUGUUUCAUGUUAACAUCCAUGAAUGUGUAUUGUUGAUUCAAUUAUGCAAAAUGUAUUACGGCAGGGUGUAUGCGGAUGCGAUCGGUUCAAGAGUAGUUCUAUCAGCGACGUGAUUAAAACGAUAGUGAAAAAGGACGGAUACAAAGGCCUCAUGAGAGGAUGGAUUCCUCGAAUGUUUUUCCACGCCCCUGCCGCCGCGAUCUGCUGGUCUACAUACGAGGCCGCUAAAACGUUCUUCCAAGAACUCAAUGCUAGCAGAGAGAGUGGCAGUGUCACCUGAAAUACCUUACGACUUUAUGGCCAAUGUAUUAUGCAGUUGCGUGACCGGCAUCGUAAGGUACGGCGGAAAGGUGUCGGGUUCACACAGUGGUGGUGGAGGCCUGGAGAGGUGAGGAGGCAUUGUCAAUGGUGGCACCCAAAGGGUGUAUACUCUGCAAUUUAUUGUAAUUAAUUGAAUGAUAAUAAAGGUUUGGAGUCAUUUCCUAGCCAGUUAUUUUUGUUAAAUCAUCAUCUGAGAUCUUUUUUUUUUCUUUUGUUUUUGGUUUCAUGAAAUGCAAGGCUUUGAUUUUUAUACCCAAAAGAUUAAAAACAUUAUGAUGUUUUUGCUUUUAGUUUUACAUAUGUGGUUUUUUAUUUUAGUAUUUCUUUUCUAUUUUUGUAAAGUAAAAAUUAUAAAUUAAUUCUAAAUUUUACAUCUUAAGUAUUUAAUAUAAGUUUUUUAUAAAACCAUGUUAUCGUAAUUUAUAGAAUCUAAAUUCAUAUAUCAAAAGAGAUUUAGUAAUCAAAUUUAAGGAAUAAAAAUAAUUAGUGCGGAUUUUGUAGCAACUAAUUUUUAACAACACAUACGUUGCAUGUGAUUUUAUGUAUUUAGUUUUUAUAAUCAAUUUUUAAAUAAAUAUAUAUAUUUUUUUGUUAUAAUAGAGGAUUCAAAUUCGGCUAUAUGUACACUCCAUGAGAAUUGAUUUCCUCCAUUAUUCACCACCAAAGUAAUCAACUUUUCAUCCCGUCUUAAAUGGGGUGAAUUGAUCAACACCGUCAUAAACUUCACCUUAUUCAAGCUUUACAUCAAAAGAUGUAAAUGCACCAUUUUAAAUAUCUUUAAAAGUGUUACAUAUACUAUUGCUCUAAUUUAUUUUGGAUUAGAACAAUUUCAAUUAGGUCGUUUUGUAAUUUAAAAUUAAUUUCGAGUUUAUAUCGAUUUUUAUUUUAGAAAUUGUGAAGUUGGUAUAGUUUUGAGUUCUGCACAUUCUGGAUUCGUAUAAUUUUGAGAGUCAAUGUUAAAUUAAUCUAGUAAUAGCUAAUCAAAAAUCUUUAGCAAGCAGCACCAGUGGUCUAGUGGUAGAAUAGUACCCUGCCACGGUACAGACCCGGGUUCGAUUCCCGGCUGGUGCAUCCUUUUAUUGUUUCCUUUUAAAUCCAAUGUUUACUGCAUUUAUUUGACGAAUCCUUUUUAUUCAGAGGGCCUGUCUUUCUGGUUCCGGAUCUCUCUGUAUUUGCUUCCCAGCCUACAAUGAACGCCAUCCCCACCUCUCCUGUCGAUUUCAUUCAAGGUAUUAUUUAUUUUAAGGUUUUUUUUUUUUACAAUUUUAAAAAAUUUUGUCUAAAUUUCCCCAUUUUCAAAACUGUUGCUUGCCUAUGCACGCGAAAAUUUUUGUGCAGAGAGUAACAAUGGCAAUGGCAGCGACUCCGAUACCAGUCACGAUGACGCGCCUGAAUACUACCAGCCGAUCUCAGCCGUGGAUGGUGAUGAUGACGACGACGACGAUGAGGAUCGAGAAAGUUUCGAUGAUCAAGUCAAUUCAGAUGAAGAACACCACCAUCGUAACCUAACGAGUGGUUACGUCAAUCGAGUGGAGAACGGGAUCUCUUCUCUUCACGUAGGCAGCGUCGCUACGGAGCAAGAAGAAGAGGAAGAGGAAGAGAGGAGGAGAGAGGCGUCUGAUACGGCGAUAAGGAGGGCGUUUAGGGAAGAGGAGAGGCGGAGAAACGCGCCGUUAACGGCGGAGAAUGCUAUGAGAGUGAGGGAAGCGAUGCGUGGGGUUGCGUUCGCUGGAUUGACUCCUGAUUGGGCCAAUCAAAUUCCCGAGGACCGGUGGAUCGAUCAGCUUCGGCGGUUGAGGCAACCGCAACGCCCUUCCAGUACGGUUUAAAACCCUCUUUCCUAGAUUUUGGGUCAAUUUCAAUGCUUUUUUGUUCUUUUUGAAAUUUGGACAAAUCUCUGGCAAAUUAUAGAUCUUUAUCUGUCCUUUUGGCAAAACAUCAGCGUUAAAGAACAAUUGCUCAGUUGGAUCAAUUCUGUUCUAAAAGAAAUUUCAAAAAUCGAUUGCAUGAUCAGUCUCAAACUUUAACCUACUAAACCAUUAAGCCGUCCAUUAAAUAUGUUGAAUUGAAAAUUUUUUUCCCCUUUUUUCUCUUGUUGAUUCGGCUUGUGAUUAAAAUUUUAUAUUAUAUAUUUAAAAAGAACAAUUAUUAUGUCUAUUAUUGUUUCAAAAUUUUACCAUCAAGUAUCUUUAAAUAAGGGUGUAAAUGAGAUGAUGCUUGUAAGCUAUUUUAAUCAAGUUUAUUCAGACUGAUAGCGCGGAGGUUGUUCAAGUUAUUUAGGUAACUUUUUUAAGAUCAUCUAAUUCAGUACUUACGAGACGAAUUCAAUAAAUAUUGUCGACAAUGGUGUUAUGGGAAAUAAUAUAUACGGCUCAAAAAAAGAGUAUAGAAGUUGAUUGCAUUGCUAAAUUGACUUUUAACAAGAGUGUUAAUUGUUGAUAGUUUAAUAUAACUAUUGUUAUUAUUUAUCCUUUUCACCAAAAAAUAAACAAAAAAAAUUAUAAUUAUUGAGUUGAGUGUAAGCAACUCAUGCCAUCAAUUAAGCCAUAUUCGAUUCACACAAUUUACAUGUCUAAUCAAUUGUUUCAUUUUAAUAUAUUUUUACUUUAUUUUAUAAAAAAGAGUUUAAGUAAAAAUGAUUUAAAUUUGAGUACAAAAAUUAAUAAAUAAAUUUAAGUAGUUUGAUUAGGAGUUGAGCAAAGCUUAAAUUUUGAAAUUGUUUGGAUCAAAUCAAACUCGAGUUUUUCACCAUUCAGAUUUAGCUUUGCUCAAUUACACUCGUAUCUUUAAAUUACAUUAAAAAUAAUAAAUAAUAAAUAAAAUUAGACUCGUUUGUUUUAGGGUAUAACAGAUCCAGUUAAACUGUUUUAACAGUCAUAAUUAACCAUUCUAACCAACUUAACCGACAACUAUAAGUUGAACCAUUUUGUUCACUCCUCGAAAAACAUAAUAUCCCCCAAAAAUUAUAUUUAUACAGUGAAUGAGUCGUGGCUUAAGAGAUGGGUUGGGAAAUUGAAUAGCAGAAUGUAGGCACUGCAGUUGAAACGAUGAAUGACACAGGAGUGUUGUUUACUUGGCCUAUUUCUUUCUAAUGAAACAAUGCUGGCAAAAACACACACAUAGAGACAACUGACACCAUCAUUACAAGCUAGAUUUGCAAUAUGUCUGGUCAUAAAACCUCAAAACUUCCAAGUUGCAUCAACACAUCAUUCAAUAUGAAUGGUGGAGUAGCCACAAGUAAUAAAAAAACACUCCUCAAGCACCAAUGUUCUCAAUCUCAGCACUUUUAUCCAUUCUCUUCACAAUGCCAGCUAUGACCUGAUACAAGACCCCAAAACAAAACUCAAACCAAUGAGAAUGAAUGCCUCGAGAGAGAGAAGAAGAAGCUUGUACUAAAGCAGUCUAUAAGAUUUUUUUUUACCUUUCCAGGCCCCAAUUCAUAACUCUUUUUCAGCCCUUUGGUCAGCAAAGUUUUCACCGUGGUUUCCCACUGAACAGGAGAAGUCACCUGCAAUUCCAACCAUUAGCUUAAAUAGCUAUUCUUAGCCCAUGUGAUGCAGGAACAUAUUAUGGACUGCUAAAAUUAUAAGAUAUAUUACGAUUUAAAUUUAGGGCUAGAUUUAUCAGGUUUUCUUUUUGCAAGAAAGCCUGGGUUUUUAAUAGAGAGAAACUACAGGUCUUGCACAAUCCUACGGAUUAGUAGAGUUCCAACUUCUUUCUAUUCAUUUUCAGGCCAACAACAUUAGCAUUUUUUUUUUCAAUUGAUAGAGAGAAACUAUAGGUUUUUCACAACCCUACAAUUUCUAGAGUUCCAACUUCUUUCUACUUAUUUUCAGCUUUAAUUCUAUUGUUUCACGGCUUUUUUUCUCCCUAAACACACCACCAAGGAGGAGUAGAAAAAAAUGGGUAUGAAGCAAGCUUACUUGACGUGCUAGUAUUUUCUUUAUAGUCUCAGGAUCUCCAUGAGGCUGAACAUCGACAUUUGAUAUGACAGGUAUUCUUGGAGUUCUAAUCUGGGUUGCUGCCAAUGCAGCCUCCAAUCUUGAAACUGCUGGGUCCAUGAAACUAGUGUGAAAAGCACCAGCAACAGCUAAACGAACCUACAAAAGGGGAGAACUAUGUUAUCACUAGCAGUCAGAUUGUAGCUUAGAUGUCCACAUUAGCACAAAAAGGAAAUGUAUCAAUUUACAAUCAAUCAAGGUAAAUGCUGAAGGAUCACAUUUUUAGAUAGAAAAUGACAAAGAGAACUACCGUCAUCCGAGCCUUGAAUGACUUUGCUUUAGCUUCCACUGCUUCCACUCCUUUGAGACCCCCAGAUACUGCAUAAUUUCCCUGCCAAAGAAAACACAUUUUCAGUACUAAAGUCAACGCAUAUCUGGUCUCCUAAUUAGCAUUAUACCAAGCAUGACACAGUUCAUUUGAUCAACGAGACAUAAAUGAAUCUUAUAUCCUUACAGGACACAAGUAAUUCGCAAUCUGCACUUUAUCAGCUACAUCAACUUCUUGGUUGGCAGCAUCACACAAUUGCUGAACCUUCUCCGAAUCAAGUCCUAUGAUACUGACCAUAGCACUUUUAGCAGCAUCUGCAGCUUCCUAAAAGUAGAAAGAACGAUGAUUACCAGCAGGAAUCAUAAAAUCAUCCACACUACAAAGCACUAUUAAACAGAAACAGAUCAUUACCUGCAUCGCUUCUCCUCUUAGUUUGACAAGCUUGAGUCCAUCCUCGAAGCUUUAUACAUGAAAUCAAAUUCACAGGGAAAAGAGCAUCAAUCAUAUGUUUCUUCUAGUUUUACAUACUAACUAAAAAAUUAGCAGACAGGUGAUGGUAACUUCUCUAAGCUUUAAACAUGGAAAUACAACUUUGGACAUUGACUUAGUCAUUACGGUAUACAUAAACACUCACCUAAAAGCCCCAGCAAAAGCUAGUGCAGUAUAUUCACCCAAGCUGAGACCACAAGUGACAUCAACAGAAUCAAUAAUCUGCGGGCCUCCAUCACGGGCACGAAGCAGCUCCACAGCAGCUAGACUUGUGACAUAAAUAGCAGGCUGCAAAUAUGAAGAUAACACUAAUUUAUUGCUCUCUCUUGACAGAAUAAAUUGUAGUAAAUACAACAUUGGUAACAGAACAUUUAUAAGGACGGAUGGCAACCAAAUGAGAAUGCAAGGUACCUGGCUUAUGACAGUUGAAUCUAACUUUUCCUUGGGACCAUUGAUGCAAAGAUCUAGAAGAUCAAAACUGCAUGCAGAUGGAACAUGGUUAAACUAUAAAGACGAUUUUAAAAAAAGGGGAUAGCAAAUUAAGGAUUAAAUUUUGGUCUUUUCAUCCCUAUUCCAUAAACAAUUUUAAAAUUUACUCUCUGUACUUUUAACUUGGCAUAAUUUUAUCUCCUACUCUUAUUAAUGUUUUGCUUUAGUCCAAAUCACUAAUUCCCUUAAAUAUACCAUUAGUUGGCUAAUAUGAAAUUUAAAAAAGAAUUGAAACUUGAAAAUCGAAAUUUGUAAAAUUAUAGUCAUCAGAAUAGUUAUUUUCUACUAAUUUAUCAUUUAAAAAAGAAAAAUCAAUCUCAACCUCAUAAUUUGAUUCCUUUUUUUCAAUUUCACAUCAAUCAAUAGAUUUUAGUGAUUUGGACGGGAGCAUGACAUUAGUAAUAGUAAGAGAACCAAAUUAUUCCAAGUUAAAAUAUAGGGACUAAAUCUCCAAAAUUGAGUAUAGUACAAGGACGAAAACCAUAAAUUGACCACUAAAUUUCUGUGUACCCUAAUAUAUUAUUUGCCUUCUUAUACAAUUCUGCAGCAGCAGGCACAGCCUCAGCUUCUUUUCCCAUUCCAACGGCUUGAGCGCCCUGAAAUUCUCAUGGUGUACAUUGGAACUAAUAAGAAGGCAACGAAACAGAUUCAUCCAGGUAAAAUCCAAAAAAAAAAAAUGGAAGUAAAAGCCUUUAACAUGGGAAUGAAUAAAUUUAGCUUAGCUGAGCCUGCCCAAUCCAAAAUUGAUGGAAUAAGUAACUAACCUGACCGGGAAAGAGGAAGGCGGAGGUGGGCUUGUAAUCAGCGAACAAGGCAUCAUCGACGACAGUUUGGGAUCCAACGGAGACACUCAUGAAAACCCUAGAUCUUGAGGGGUUGUUGAGGCGGAGGAAGCAUCUAGAAGGAAGAGGUCCAUUGGAGCGAAACGAAGAAAGGGGAGAAGGGAGAGCGAGGGAAGCGGAGGCGGCAGACAUUGUGAAGAGCGACUGGGAAUGAGCGGAAGAAGCAAGGCGGAGACUGUGCAUGCCAAUUGUUUGAUAUUUUUUCUAUGUUAAAUAAAUACGUUUUGUGUUAAUGUUGGCGGAGAUAACGAAGGUAGACGUUGGAGAUUGGCUUAAAAAUCAAAGAAACCGCCCAUCUGCCACUGCCUACUCACCAACAUAAUUACUACCCAAGUAGAAAUAUCUAUUAAUAAAUUUUAACAAAUAACUUCAAAAUGGACUCAUGUUUUAGAUGUCGAGCUUGCUAGAUUGUUAUAAAGGGAAUUAUUAGGAAGGACCUUGGGCAAUCAAGGCAGAUUAAGCAAGAUAAUUGUUUAGUAUUUUCCGUAUGUCCUUCAGAUGGUGUGAUCUGUCUAUUUAUAUGAUAGGAUAUUGUUUAUCGAUAAGACAAGUUAGGAAGACUCUAUGCAUGUAAACACGUUCCCUGCUCUAGUUUAGACACGUGUCUUCAUAGUUCUAAGUUCAUGCAACCUUGCAAUACAAUGACCAAGUUUGAUUUGUCAACUUGCUAACUUACCCUGUGGGCUUAACACUUAGGUCAAGCUUACGAGCUCUUUAAGGUCCAGCCAAGGCCCAAACCUACUCCGUGAGCUUAGCGCUUGGGUCAAGCCUGCGAACUCCGAUCCAAGCCCAAACUUAAGACAAAUUUGGGCCAAUAAUAAUAAUAAUCAUCCUAACAACAACAAAUUAGUAUAGUCAGAUAGGUAAUCAAUGGUCAUGUACCAAGUAGCCCUUUCAACAAUCUAAACAUUGAAUAUAAAUACUUAGGUACAAUUUCAUCCCUAGCAACUAGAUUCUUUAUCCUCUCACCUCUUGAAACUAGUAGAUUUAAGCACCGAAUCACACCCUAUAAUAUAAACUCUGAUACUCUCAAACCUUGCAUCAGUAUUGUAAGAAUUUGUUACCCUUCAAAUUCGAUAUGAUAUCUUCCACAAUAGACUCUCGAGCCUAAUUCAUCACACAUACAAAUAAUAAUAAUAAUAAUAAUAAUAAUAAUCAACAAUCCAUUUUAUCUUAUAAGAUUUUAGUUUAAUGAUGAAGUUGAUGUUUUAAAAAUUUCGUGAUUUUAUGUUUGUGUGGUUUUCCUUCAAAUAUAUUUUAAUUACAAUUAGUUAAACUUUAAUUGUCGAAUUAAAUAUAUUUUAAUUAAAAUUAGUUAUAUUUAACUGUAGAAUUAAAUUUUUAGAUAAAUGCUUGUAAUGAUAUAAUUCUUGGACAAAAUUAAUUCAAUAUUCAAGAAGUGGACGAAUAUUUUAUUUGCCUUGCUCGGAAAGCUCUCACGGUUAAUUAUGCCAUUAUUGGGUUACAAUGUAGGCACCCCAUGUGGAUGCGUGUUGAAAAUUCAACCAACCCAAAUUUGCACCCAUUGGGCAAGCUUUUUGAGAAGCCCUUCCAAGAUUGCGCCCAUGGCUGUUCAACUUGCCCAUCACUUCAUCACCAUUCAUCAAAAAUCCAUUCUCCACCAUGAAAGUUGAAGAGACAGAAAAAAAACUCAUUUUGGUUUUUCUUUCCUUUUAGAUAGAAACCACAUGCCAGUGCCUCCCACCCAAAUCAAUUUCAUAAUUGGAUCAGUAAUUUGUGACUAACCACCUACCUUUUGUUUCUGUAUCCAAUACGAAAAUUUUAGAAUAUACAUAUAAAAUAAUAUUAUUUAAUUAAAAUAUGCUUAUGAUUAUUUUUAGGAAUUUAAUUUCUUAAUUAUUUAAAUUUUAAAAUUUAGGUCUAAUUGUUAAUAUUGUUUUUUUGUUUGUUAAAUUUAAAUAAUUAAUAAUAUUUAGCCUAGAGAGUUGAGAUGGUAAGGGACAAGGAAGAGAGCCCCCAAAUAAGAGAGAGAGCUGAGAGAGAGUCUAUUGGCCAUGCAAGGGCAAUGGUUUAUAUAUCCCGAGUUAGGAUUCCGAGAUAUCAUGUGUCACCAUGCUAUAGGUGACUAAGGGUGGAUAAGUCAAUCAAUUUUGCCACAGCAAACUUAAGUAGAGUGAUCGAGGUGGCAAUUGAACAGAUUGUUAACCAUUUCAAAUGGGAUGUGACAAUUGGUGUCAUAAAUAGCGGUUACAUAAGACCCUUGUACAAUCUGAGAUUCAAUGAUUUCUCCUGGGAAGAGUUUCCUCGAGCUAAGAGGUUGACAUUGAAGAGCGGUUCUUGGGUUUGGUCAUGAGGAGUUGAGGCUCGAGGAGUCUUCUCAAGGUGUAGGGGUAUAACAAGACACGUUAUUUAUCAAUAGACAUCCAAUGAAGAGUAUUAUGAAUAUUUAUUAUAACUUAGAUGUUCGUUGAAAUAAGAAGUUUGAUAUACUUUUAAGACUCUAAUGUCCAUUAGAAGUAAAAUUCUUUAUCAUUUAUAUUUUUAGACUUAUAAAUAUGGAGUUUAGGGACUUAUUGUAUAUAUCCUAUUGACUUUAUUUUCUUAUUUUUCUUUGUUUUAUAACAUGAUUUUUUUUAUAAGUUUAUUGAGUGUUAAUGUGUUAAUUUGAGCAAAAUUAACUAUUGAAUUAAUUAGAUCAACGACUUUCAAUUCAAUCAACUAUUGAUUUAAUUAUAAUUAAAUAAAUUAUAAAAAUUAAAAAAUUAUUCAACCGUCAAUUUUUAUCCUUAUUUUUUUUAUUAAUUUUGAAUGAUUCAUUUAAAGAUCGAUUUAACUUUUAUGUUCAAUUUAAUAUAAUGACCGAUUCGGUUUAGUUCAAAUAAUAACAUAUUUAAAAAUCCAACUUAACUUAGAAAAGUUAAGUCUUUUUGGAUGGACGUUAUCUUAAAUAUGGUGCGUUUAAUUGUUUUUAUUUUACACUACAAUAUUAUCAUAAUUUACUAUUAUUAAGUUUACAUUAACUAUAAAUAAAUACACCGUCCAUACAAAAAGAGAUAGGAAACUUCUAGAAGUUCCUCAACAUUCCAUAAAAAGUGAGGCUGACACUAACCACGACAAGAAUCUAUCUUGUAUUAUAUGUAGAAUAAAUUUUAUUUAAUAAAAGAAAGGCAUAGGUAUAGGCUCAAUUAACAAUGACUUAAAGUUGAAGCGAAAGUGUUGAAAAUAGGCUAGAGUAAUUGUACUGAGAGCGCUUAACAGAGGCUGCAAUGCUAUCAUGUCAAGGCCCAGAAAGAGAUGUACUGCAAGUCUUCAAUACAUUAUAUUUUUAUUUAAGGGUAUAAAAGAUUUUCAUAUAUCUUUUAAAAAAUGAAUAGUCUUUAAUUAUUUUCAAUUAAAAUCACCACGUAUCAUAAUCACAGCGUGACAUGUGAUAAAAAAAUAAAAAUCAAUAAAAGUUAUAAAAAUCGUUAAAUUUUAAUGAAAAUAUAAGAAAUGGUAAAAUUUUAUGCUAAAAAUUAUAAAUAUAUAUAGAAAGAAAUAUAAAUUACACAAUAAUAUAAUUAGAGGUGAGUAUUUGAUCGAGUCGAGUCGAAUCGAAUAAAAAAAAUUUGAGUUAAGUCGAGUGGACGAAUCCUAUUUUAGCAACGAAACUCAAUUUGAAUUUUUUUCAAAUCGAAUCGAAUCGAGUCAAAAAAUUUCAAGUCAAGUAAAGUCGAGUCGAGUUAACGAAUCCUAUUAUUUAUACUCAAUGUUACGUUUACAUGGACCGAUUAUUUAACUAGUAGACAAAGCACAAGAUUAUUUAACUACAUAAACAAUAUAAUGGUUUUGCCUUUUAACUUAAUGGAUAAACAUUUAUCAAGACGACAUGAUUUUGCCUAUUAAAUUAAUGUUUUUGACUUUUAACUUUUAAAAAAGUAAGCAUUUAUCAAAACGACUCAGUUUUACUUUUUCUAUUCAGAUUUUCGGAUAAUUCGAAUUGUGUAAUUCAUAUUCGAGUUCAAAACUUAAUUUUUUAUUCGAGUUUAUCCGAAUAACUUGAUUAACUUAAAUAACUCGAACUAUUUAAUUCAAAUUUUAAAUUUUUUUGUUGAAUUUUUUGAAUCGAAUCGAAUCGAAUUUUGAUCGCCCCUAAAUAUAAUAUAACAUUUCGGAUAUAAAAAAUGAUAAUUACAAUUAAAUAUUUUGCACUCGAUCGAAUAUCAAUUUUUUAAGUUUGAAUUCGAAUUCGAUUAAAUUUUUUAGUCAUAUUUGUACGUUAUUUAAACAAAAAAUUUAAUUAAGUUUGUAAAUUAUUUAAAUCUAUCGAUUCAAAUUCGAAUUUAUUUUAAAUUAAACAUGAAUAAAUUGUAAAUAUCAGUACUCCAAAUGCACCAAACCUUGAAGGCUUAUCACUGGGCCCACUUUUAACUUGCCCAUUGGGCUUUGCUCUUCUCCUACCCUGCACCCGUACCUAGCUUUCCUAGUUAGUAGUUACCACUCCAUUAUAAAAUAUAAAAGAAUUAUUUUAUUUUAUAUAUUUAAAUAUUGUACCAAAAAUAUAUUUUCAGUGUAUUUUUUAUUCCACAAGUUUAAUUAAGGUUUGACAAAUAUUUUAUAAGACUACUAAAGGAUAAACUAUACCCAUCGUCGUCACUUUUAUUUAUCUUAGGUCACCUUUUAGACACUUAUGUUUAAAAUAUUACGUUUUAGCCAUUUACGUUAUCGUGACAUAAAAUUUUAGUCACUGAGCCGUUAAUUGCCGUUAACGGUGUAACAGUAAGCUGAUAUGUUAAAUAAUCAUUUCAAACAAAAAUUUUAGUUUAAAUUAUAUAAUUGGUCCCCAUAUUUUUUUUCGUUUUGAGUAAUUUAAUUUUUUCUUUUAUGUUCUUUAAACUUUUUUUUUCUUUUUUUUUCAUUCUCUUCUGCUUCCCCUUCUAUUUUUCAACGUUCUCCAUUUCUUUUAACACAUCAAAAAGUUGAAUUGACAAUGAAAAAAGAAACAAUAAGUAGAAAGCCAUCAUUGCCUAUAACCAAAACCCAUAUACUCAUACCAUUUGCUAACUAUCAAAACCCUCCACCACCACCCAUCAUCUUCAUUUCAUCCACUAACACAUUCACCACUAUCUAGAACUCAUUUCAAAAAUAUCUAAAAAAAUCCUUAACUUUUGGACUACCCAAGAUGGAAUCUUCGUCACCGGCCAUUAGGAUCAGCUCGAUUUUUUGAUAUGUGCUCCUCUUUCACCGGUCAUUAUCUAAUCUUUGGCUCUUUGUGAUUUUUUGGGGCUUAUUAAUUGUUUUUUACUUGGAUUCUUAAUUGAUUUGAACGUGGGUUUAUUUGGUAAGAGGAUGAUAUUGUUGGGUUUGUCAUGAACGAGGUCAUGGCAGUGGUGAGGGUGUUAGUUGAUGAAAUGAAGAUGAUGGGUGGUGGUGGAGGAUUUUGACAGUUAGCAGAUGGUAUGAGUUUAUGGGUUUUGAUGAUUUUGACUUCUUGCUUCCUUUUUCAUUGUCAAUUUGACUUCUUGAUACGUUAAAAGAAAUGGAGAAUAUAGGAAAACAAAGGGAGAAGCAGAGGAGGAUGGAAAAUACAAAAAAGAAGAAGUUAAAAUAUCAUAAAAGAAAAAAAUUAAAUUGCUUAAACGAAAAAAUAUGGGGACCCAUUAUAUAAUUUAAACUAAAUUUUAUUUAGUCACUUAAUUAAAAAAAAUACAACUUAGUUAUUGAAUUAUUCAAAUGUUUUCAUUUAAUUGGACUAUUAGAAUUGAUGCUAUAUGAUUUUCUUUGUACGCACUUCCUGCACCAAUCGAACGUUCUCUUUCCUCUUUCCUUCUAUAGCUCAUUUUUAUUAUAAAAUAGUUUUGGAUGUUGUGAAUAUGUAAACCAAAAUUCAAACAGUUUUUUCCCAAUCUCCAACAUUGGCCGUUAGAUCGACUUAGAUCUAAAGUAUGUUAUUCUACUUGUCGAUGGGUACUAAUCCACUGUAUUGGUCGUUGAAUCGCCGCUUGGAGCUCGCUGGUGAAAUUUAAAAACAAUAGAACUUAACAAUCCAAUGACUUAAAUAAAAAUUUUUAAAUAGUUCAGUAACUUAAAUGAAAAUUUUUGAAUAUUUCAAUGACCAAUUUAUAACUUUUUAAUUAAACGAUCAAAAUAAAAACUUACCCAUAAUUUAGUGACUAAUGAUAUAGUUUACCCUAAAUUUCCUUUUUUAAGUACACAAAGCAAAAUCUUAACUCGCAAAGGGUUUUUUUUAUUUCACUGAUGUAUAAGAUAAUAAUUUUAAAAUUUUGUAAAAUAAAAAAUAAUUUAAUAUAAAAUUUUAGAUUGAUCUAAAAAAAUUUAUCUAAUUUAAUUUUGAAUUUAACUGAAAAUUACUGUAAUAUGUGAUUGGAGAGGUUUUUUUUUAAAUAAAAGGGACCCAUAUGAAAGGUAGAUUUCUCCUUUUCGUCAGAUUCAGAUUUCAGACUGAGGGAGGAAGGAAGAAGGAGAACACAAGUCUAAGCAAAGGAAUAAAUUAAAAGGAGAAGAAGCUUUGACCAGAAAAUGGCCUGAAAUUUGAAAAAUUACCCUGAUUUUUUUUUUUCAUUUUUUCUAAAACCAAAAAACAAUAUACAGUACCUGAAAUUAAUGAGGUAUUAAUGGAGUUGUCCACAAAGGCAAUGGGGGCAAAGUCCAAUGGAACCCUCCCCCCUUUCCUUACCUCGAAAUUGCAAAGGGGUGGGAGCUGAACCUAAGGGACCGGAGACUCUGUCACGUCAUCUGCACACAAAAGAAAAAGAGAAAAUUAACAGAGGGGCAUUAAAUGAGUAGGGGGUCUACAAAUACUGAAACUCUGAGCUAUAUGCAAAUCUAGUGUUAAAAGAAAGAAAGAAGAGGGUGUUGUAGGAGGACUGAUUAUUUCAACAGGGUGCAAGUGCCGAGGUAUCCCCUUCCUCUGAGUCAGGGUCAGACCCCCCCCAUGGCCCCAUGGCUCCAAUUUCCGUUCCUUUACCACUUUCUUUUUUAGAUAAAUUUUCUUAUCAGUCGUUGUACAUAUAGAUCACUCUUAUUUUAGUCCCCCAAAUUUUUUUAUUAAUUUAAUCACCUCAAAAUAAAAAUUAUUAAAUUAGUCCCUUCACCGUUAAACGAAAACAAAAUAUUAUCAGUGUAUUUCUACAUUAAUCACUUUAAAAUUAAGGUAAACCACCAUCAACCACUCUAAAUAGAGUUCGUUUCUAACUUAAUCACUCUCGAAAAUUGUAAGAAAUAUUUUAUUAGUAUAUGACAUUAUAAUUUUUAUACCAGAUAAAUCUCAAAAUUAUAUAUAAAUUUUGAUUUUGUGCAAUUUUAUACAUGAAAUUUUGAGUUGAUUUAAUUCUCACAAAUUAUUAACACAAUUAUUAAUAUAGUCUCAUUUUAUAUUUAUAUACUGCAUACACAAAUAAUUAUAUUUAUUCAAUACCAAAAUAAAUUGAUGUAUUUAUUUCUUUAAACGUUUAUGAUUGAAUCAAAUUAAAGUUUCAUGUAUACAUUUGAACCGUAAUCAAAGUUUCAUGUGUAUAAUUACGCAUCAAAUUACAUGUUGAAUCAAAAUUUAUGUAUAAUUUUAAGAUUUAUCUCUUUUUACAAUAACCAAACUAUAAUUUUGCCAUAAGUUAUUGUCAAUUGAGCAUGCUAUUCUUUUUGUUAAUAAUUACAAUUAAAACAAAUGAUUACAAUUAUUAAAUUAGUAAAAUUUUCAAAAAAUUUAUUGCCUUCGAGCAAAAGCCUCAUCGGCCAUUUUUUAUAAAAAGAAAUCAAUUUGAAUCAACCAUUUUAAGUACAGAACUGAAUAACUAACUUAACAACUAAUUCAAUUUAAUUUAACUAAUUAUAAUUAGAAUAAAUUUAAAAAUAAAAAUAAAAUCUCAACUUCAUCAUUAAACCGAUGCUUUAUUUACACUUAAGUAUGCUUGUAAUACUGUAAACAAAGAAGAAACAUGCAAAUUUGAUUUUGCUCUUUUUAAGUCAACAAUGUUUAAAGUAAAAACUUGUUUAGGAUUAAAAUAUAGGACCUAAAAGUAAGGAAAAUGAAAAUGGAAUAAAAUUAUCAAUACUGUUUGUUGCUCUUUUUAGUGCAUCAUGUGGUUCAUAGUCAUACCAGAUCCUUACUUUCUGCAAUUUCUAGAUUGAUUAGCUUAAAUUCAAAUGCACAUUAUCAUGAACCAUAAGAAAAAUGUUACAUGUUUGGGGACAUUCUUGACAACUGGUUUAAAUAUUAAUUAAAAAAGCAUUUUUCUUUAAUAAAUUUAUGAACUAGUAGGAAAUUUAUCACACGUGUAUAUGUGUGGAAACCAUAUAUUUAGAUAUGAAAAGACAUUAAUAUAAAAAUACAUCAAAGUAAUUUUUCUAACCGAUUUGGUAUCCGAUUGACUUAUUCCACUAAUUUAGCCAGGGGCUUAAAUAAUAGUAUAGAUACGAUUGAUGGAGGAGGUAAAAUUAAGAUUUUAUUAAUGUAAUUAGCAUGAGUUCAAAUCUCAUUAUGAUAUCAUGUGUGUCACUUUUUAGGUUUUUUAAAGAAAAAGAUUAAAGUGUCAUCGAACAAUAUAAUUUAUUUUAAAUACAAAAGGACAUCGAAAUAAUUUUUCUAAUCGAGUUAAUGUUCUGUUAAUUCGUCACAUCAACUUAGGACUUACAUAAUAAUAAUAUAAAUAAUUAUAAUUAUUGAAUUAGAUUAAAAUAAAAAUUAAUCACAUAGUCAACACAUAAUUACAAGAAUUUCAACGUAAAAUUUGAAAUUAAGACGUGAAAAUUAAUGGUCUUUUGAAAAUGAAGGAUGGGACGGUGGUUCACAUUUGCCGACUGCUAUUGGGAUUAUUUUUGUUGGAAGGAGAAAAAGGAACGUAAAAUUUAUCAUUAAUCAAAUGGUUAAAAAGGUUUAUAUUAAAUAUUUUAUUAUUUAAAUGGGUAAAAUUGAAAUCGACUCAUUUAGGGUCCCUUCGGAUGGGCGGUGGUGCGUUCAGUGUUUACGUAUAGUUAGUAUAAAAAUAGCUGUAGCAAUGAGAUUAUAUAUUGUAGUGACACUGUAGUGUUAGACAAAAAGAAAGUUAAAUAUACCGCACUGAAAGCAAACGCUUCUCUAAAAGGGCCCUUAGUCAAGAAAUGAAGCAAUGUUAUAAAUACCGGACAAGUAAUUGAAUUGGUCAAGUAAUCGAUUUUUCGUUAAAUUAAUUAAAUUGAUGGUUAAAUCGUUGCAAAAUAAAAUUUUAUUAAAAUUAUAAAAUUAUAAAAAAAUUAAAAAAUAGGAUUAUAAAAAGAAAAGACAAGAAAUCAAUAAAUACAAAUAAGUAAUAAUAAAAAUAUAAAAAAAUUCUAUAAAUUCAAAUAAAAUUUUAACCAACUGUUUUACCUGAUCUGAAUUUUUUAAAAAUGAGUUACAGUGUACGUAGCUUGAUUCUGCUGCAAUUAUCUAUAAAUUAUUGUUUUAAAUAAAAGAAACAAUACUUUCAUUUUUUAGACUAAUUGAUAUUUUGUACUAAAUUAACAAAUAACAUAGUUACUGGUUGAUAAAUCGAAAAAUCGAAAAAUGUGUUAAAAUUUAAAUAUUAUGGUAAGUUUUCAUGUUGGUCAGUGAACUAAAAAAGUUACAGUUUGGUCAUUGAACUAUUUAAAAUUUUUUGUUUAAGUCACUGGGUAGUUAAGUUUUUUUUUAAUAAAAAAGUUCCGUUAAGAUUCGAGAGACGAUUCAACGAUCAGUAUGGUGAAUCAGUAUACCCAUCGACGAGUAGAAGAACAUUUCUUAGAUCCAAGUUGAUUUGACAGUCAGUGUCAUAGAUCAAAUAAAAAAAGUUGUUUGAAUUUUGGCUCACAAUGCUUGACGUCAAAGCCUUUUCAUAAAAAAAAAUUGAACUAUAAAAGAGAAAGGAAAGAGAGCUUUCGAUUAGUGCAUCGAAAGCUAUAUAUUAUCAAUUUUAACAGUCCAAUGACUUAAAUGAAAACUUUUGAAUAAUUCAGUGAUCAAAAUAAAAACUUACCCAUAUUUUAGUAACUAACGGUAUAAUUUACCCUAAAAAUUUAAGUAUUGGAUUUAAGUUAUAAAAAUUAUUUGAUAUAUGUUACUUAAAAUUAAAUACAAAAUUUAAUUAAAUUGUUUGAUAAGUAUAAAUUUUUUAUUCUUAAUUUUUAAAUAUUUCACGUUAUUGAUCAUGUUUUAAACAUAAAGGCUUUGUAGGAAAAUAUAAUGUUAAAAUAAAACUGAAUUAAUUGAAAAUACCUCUAUUAAGUAAUAAAUAACUCUUAUUUUCUUAUAUUUUCACUCUGUAAAAAUAAAUCAAAACUUAUUACUUAAAUAAAAUGUACUAAUUUAAGAAAAUUUCUAAUUUUUCUUUUAAAAUUUACAUCUUAUAACUAUAUAUAAAUCGUUAUCAUCGAAAUAAAUCAUUACAAGUAUAAAAUUGAAUAACUAAUUCAACUCAACUAAAACACCCUUUAAAUAUGUUAAUUGAGUCUUAACUCGAUUGGUAUGAAUAUUGUUAUCAAUGCAGGAGGACGUGAGUUCAAAUACGUUGAAGAAGCGCAUUAUUUUUAUAUUUAUAAGUUGGGAGGAACUAUAGAUAUUAAGACUUAGGAUCCUCCGGUGAAGAUAACUUUUACCUUAUCUUUUACCCCAUUUAAUCUUCUCUAUUAUUGAAAAAUCAACUUAUGUAUUCAUAUUUUUACUAUUACUACGUUUGCAUUCAAAAACAUAUAUUUUACUAUAAAAUUUAAUUUUACUUUUAUAUUAAGUAGUUUCAAUCUUAACAUCCAUCUAAAUAAAUAUUAUAAUUUACCUACACAUAAACAUAAAUUAUCCCGUGUUGACUUGAUGGUCAAAGUGCAUAUCGCAUCAAAUAUGACCUGAAUUCGAGUUAUGCUAACGUUGCUGUUAGGACUUUACCUUCGUCCUAUAAAUCACCAAAAAUAAAAUAUAAAAUUUCUAAACGCCUCGUCAAAUAUAUAAUAUGGUUUUGAAAUUUUGAUAAAUCCAAAUUCCAAUAAAAAGUUGGAAGAGUCCGUAGGGGGAAUGGCGUGGGGGUUUCCCUAUGGUAACUUUCCUCCAUAAAAAAAAAUAGAGAAAUUAGGGUUUGCCCCCUAGUGAAGGUGCAAUAGUGGUAGAAAAUCGUGUUUAAUUUAAUUUAAUUAGUCAUUGGUUCAUCUAGUCGACAACCUAAUGGGUAAUGCUGUAAUGCAUACGCAUAACGUAGUCGGCGAGCGUAUAAGCUAAGUAAAAAUAUUAAUUAAAUUAUAUUCAUGGUGUUUAAAGAAAAUAUGUGUAAAAACCGUCCCUCCACCACCACACACACGACCCCCCUUCAUUUUUACUCAGUCUUAAUUAAAGAUUAUUAAAUUUCAUGCUCCAAUGGAAUGUGAGUGAUGCCCCACGUCCCUCACCCUCUUAUAAAUACUGCCAAACCCACUUCUUUUCUUCUUCACACCAUGCGAGCUGUGAGACAUGUUUGCAGGUUUUUUUUCAUGGAGGUUGCGGGGGAAUUUCUUUUUCCUUUGUAAUAAAACCUCAAGUAUGGGAUAACCUGUAAAGCUCAGGAGGGAUAGCGCCAUCUCAAAUAAAAACCUAUAUAUGGCGCUAUCUAUCCUGAGUUUCAUGGGUUCUUCCUGCUAUAUACUUCAAGAAUGAGGCAACUUUGGUACACCCCAUCUGCUAAUUUUGGUGAGUUUCUUUAAUUAAGCUUUUCCCUUUUAAGUUGAUUUUGGUUCUUUUUUUUUUGUUUUUUAAUGUAAGCUGCAGGUUUUUACUUGGAAUCUUCUGCAGAAGUUAAAAGCUGAUGAUGAUGAUUAUACACCAAAAAGAAAGAGAAAGAAAAAGGGUUGAUCUUGGAUUUUCUUAUUGUAAUAUAUAUUUUCUCAUCUCACUUAAAAAAUUCUCGGAUGGGGUUUAAUUUAGCAUCUUUUUCUGCAGAUUCUUGUAUCAUAUAGCUAUAUGUGUUGUCUUUCUAGGUUACAGCCAUGUCUAUGGAGUCUUUUUAAAGACAAAAAUCCAGUAUUUUUCCCAAUGGUCCGGUUGCCUUAUUUGUCAGUAUUUUAUUGUAAUUAAUGCAUUAUAUGAUCCAAGUACUUGAUAACGUUUAAAGGGUUCUUGACAAGAAAACAAACAAACCCAGAUUAGGUAAUUCCUAGAGUUAAUCUCUUUUAAUGAAGAGAAUGGGGUAGAGAUUGUUGAAUGAUGGAAUAAGAAACUGCUGUAAUUUCACCUCUGAUCCAUAUGGUUUUACAAUUACUGCUGCUGCGAUUCAUCUUCAUCCUCCUUCAAAGCUUAAACCAGUACUGUGAGGUAAGCUAGGGUUUUUUUUUUUUUUUUGACUUGAAAAACAAAUGGUUUGCAGGCUUUUUUGACUCCUUUACGGCGUCGUUUCAAGUCACAUCGUUACCUCCUUUUCAAUUAUUUCUUCAUCAGAAUCAUUUUCUGUCUAACAAAAGCAAAAAAAUGUGAUUCAAUUAAGUAAACCAAAUUCUAAUUGUUUUCCAUGCAAAUGAAACAUUAAUAAUUAAUUAAAUUUUAUUUUAUUUUUUGCAAUUCAGGUAGAUGAUGAUGCUGAGGUUGACUAAAAAAAAAUGUAAAUGUAGCUCUCUUUGGGUUCCCUGUUGAGAAGCUAUAAAAAUCAUGUGGUUGGCCAUUAUAAUGAGCAAGUGUAGGGUUGGGAUGGAUUAAAUUUGGGGUUGAGUGGGUGUGUUAAAAGAAAAUUGAUCCAACUUUAGGGUACAUGAUAUGAGAAACCAAAGGGAGCAAAUCAUAUGUUAUGAUCCUCAACUAUGUAUAUAUUAUUCACCUAUCUUAUUAUAUAUAAAUAAAUAAUGAUCAUCUUCGUGGAGAAUGUGCUUCAACAGAAACCCCCACCUCUUCUACAGUUUAUGGGGUUUAAUCACUUCAUUAUUUUGUGUGUGUAUAUAUAUAUUAGACACAAUCAUCAUUACAAUACUUAUAAUUCUAUUUUCCUCCUCCACUAUUUUCUUUGAAAAUCUACAAAAUUCGAUUCGGUUGGGAUAUUUUGAAGGUUUAAUUGCACAUGUCUUCACAUGCUUGUUGAUAUUCUUAAAUUGAUUUGAUUUCUUUUUGGGUUUUCAUAACUACAAAGACAGAUUUGAAUAAUGUUGAUGUAAGAUAUCUCUCUGGACUCCCCCAAGUGGAGUGUCUGGUGACCCCAGACACUCCACUAAGGGGACUCCAGACAGAUCACUGGAUUGUCUUCUUCUUCUCUACUUCUUCACUAUCCCUUGCCUUCUUCACUUCCAUUGAUACCAUGUAAUAAGACUUGAACUUAGUAUAUUACCAACAAUGUUGAAGUCCCAUUGGCAAAUUUUAAAAUAUUAGUAUCAAUCAAGUCAUUUUGUAUCCACUUGGGGGACUGCAGAGGCAAACAAUCAAGUCAGCCAACGGGUGAAUCCCCUUCCUUACACUAGAAACUACCAUUGAGAAAAAGACAGUAAUUUGGUUUCAGUUAGUCGGUGUAAUUCGGUUUCAGUUGAAAAAACAAUUAGUCGGAUAAGAUUUAGAAGUAGACGAAAGAAUAACUGGAUUAUCUUCUUCUUCUCUGCUUCUUCACUACCCCUACCUUCUCUACUUCCGUUGAUACCGUGUAUGAUAAGACUUGAACUUAGUAUGUUACCAACAAUGUUGAAGUCCCAUUGGCAAGUUUUAAAAUAUUAGUAUCAAUCAAGUCAUUUUGUAAAUUGCGGAUUUUGGAUAUCACGUUUUAGAAACGCUUUUUAAUUUUUAAAGAUACUAUCUAUUAACACAUAAAAUUCAAGUUGUUUAAGUAAAUAUUUUUAAAAAAAUAUUUUGUGUCUAAUCCAAACUAAGGUCUUAUUUGAUAAUCCAUUGAAAAAAAUUAAAUGAACUGGAAAUUAAUAUCUUUAGUAAUUUAAUUUUUAAAAAUAAAAUCCUACAACUUUCAAACGAAUAAACAUUUAUCAGUCUGAUUAUAUUUUAGAUUUAAUUUUAUAAAUUAAAUACAUAAUUUUUUAAUGCACCAAAUACCACCUACCAUUUAAUGAUUAAAUUGAUCGAAACUAAUAAAGGUACAACCACUAUCUCCUGCAUUGGAAAUUGAUUAGCAUUGAGUUGUUGUUUAAGCAAGGAGCUUACCUAAGAUUUUUUAUUUCCUAGAUGGAAGGUUGCAUCACCAAUUCAUCACUGUAAAAUGGUGGAUUGGUAGGCAAUUUUAAAAGAGCAAAAGGAUCCAUUAUCCCCUUACCUAUUUGUCAUUGUUGGAUGAAGCUCCUGCAAAUAAAUUGCUCUGUUAUCAUCCAAAGACAAAGAAGAUUAGGCUAUCUGGUAUGAAGGGAUUUGAGUUGCAGGAAGUAUGGGAGAAAACUGGGUUUGCUAUAGGAAAGCUGGUAGGCAGAUAUUUGGGGUUCCCAUUAGUAGUAAAGAGGUUAACAGAGAAGGAUUGAGGUUACAAAGAAAGUUAAUGGAUGGGUAGUAAAGCUUUUAACUAAUCCAAACUGUGUUAUUUCAUAUCCAAAUUUAUAUGAAAUGCCCAUGUUAAUUGAAUUAAAGAUUUUUUUGGUAAAUUGAAGCUUGAAGAAUUGCUACCAAUGGUCUUGAAUCAAUUGAAUUGAAAGAAGUGUUGAAAAAUAACGAGGAACGGAACUUGAGAAACAAAGAAACUCCAAAGAGUGCUUUAUUGAAUGAAACUCGUAAUGGCUUAAAAACUCUUAAAGAUCAUUGACAAAGAAGUUUAAUUUCUUGAUGAAAUCAACUUUUUCGAUGAACAAAAAGUUAAAAAUAUUCUAAAAUUCAAAAUAAAUAACUAAAAUAUAAGACCUAACACUAUUGGGUUUAUAUAUAUUAUGAUCAAAAUUAAGCCUUAGAAUCGAACCUAAUAUGAUUUAAAAGCUUAUUCAAAGUUAAAAGUCGUCAUUCAUAUUUUAAUCUCGUCCAAAAAAUUCUAUUCUCGUAGUCUUCUCUAAAAUGAUCAUAUCUUGAGCUUUGAACAAAAUAAGAUAAUUCAAAAUGAGUUUCGAAGUUAAGAGACAACGCUUCGAACCGUAUUAAGAGAUCUCAACCUAAAAAUAUUUGGACCACAUCAAAAAACGCAUAUCAAGUCGACUGAUAUUCCAAACUUGAAAAUUGAUAGCUUUAACGAACUUAAUUGAAUGAAUUUCAUCCCAUCCAUGCAUGUAUCGAUUUGGAAACAUCUUUAUACUUCCAAAAGUGGUUAUCAAGAAGGUGAAUCAACAUUGUAUGAGAUUCUUUUGGAAGGGUUGGAAUGAAAUGGUAAAAGAGUAGCGGUAAACUAGGAUAUAGUUUGUAAACCCAAAGCAGAUGGUGGAGUUGGCUUGAAAGACUUAAAUAGUUAGAAUCAGGCUCAUGUAUUGCAGCCAAUUAAUGAUGCCAGUAGGUUCUUGCUUGGCUAAAUGCCUAUGUACUUAAAAAGGGAGGUCUUUCAAGGAGCUGCCUGCAUCCUACCGACAUAGCUGGAGCUAAAAGAAAAUAAUGAAGUUAAGAGACAUUGUAGAGCAAAUUUUUUGAUAUGGGGAUUGGCCUUUGCUAAGAUAGAAGUAUUUGGAGAACAAGGAAAGUGGCAUGGUCCAUAAUCAUUUGGAUUCCAUUUUACAUACAUAAGCCUCUAUAAUAACAUGGUUGGCUAUCUUAAAUAGGUUUGCAACUAAGGACUGGCUUAGGGACUUGGGAAUGAAGAAUGGAUGCAAUUUUGUUCUGAUUAUAUUCGCUCUUUUUGACACAAUAUCUAGAACUAUUCAUAGUCUCUUCCCAACCCAUAAAUAGAAAGAUAAUGCGCUUCAGCGCAUUCGAACCCACUCCAUCCUGUAUUGACAAUAAUACCUAUGCCAAUUGAGAUAAAACUCAAUCGACUUAGGGUGAUUUUGGAUGGGCGGUGUUGUGCGUUUAACUUACUCUUUGUCUCACGCUAUAAUAUUACUAUAUAUCUAAUAUCAUCACUACCGUUGUUUUUACAUUAACUCAUCCAAACACACCCUUAAUUUUCAACUUUUAAAUACAAAGAAGAAAAAUAGAGGAAACAUAUGGACUUUAGUUGAGCCCAUUAAAAUAGAAAAAUGGCCCAUUAUUCUUCACUAUGCUUUGGUAAUGCUAGAGCUAGAAUUAUUAUUUUACAGAAUUUGCCACCCCCCGCCAAUCUCCCUUUCACGGCCGCCGAUUUCUUCUGUCCUCUUCUAGUUCCCUCGUCGGCCACCACUUCCCCUCCGGUAUAUUUGUCACUCUCCCUUACUAUAUAAAUUUGAAUUCUUAAAUGAAAUUGCUUGCCUUUUGAUUACUUCUUUUUGCAGCUAUGGAUGACGACAAUUCGAACGCGUUGCGGAGAAUGUCGACCCGUACUCGUAAAGUUGCUCCUAAAAUGGCUGCAGCACUCGGCAGUUCUGAUAAUCGAUCCCAGGUUUCCUUUCUUUUUUUUUUUUUUGCCUACUAAUAUCUACUGGUGUUUACAUUUUUGCUGUGAAAUUUGGAAAUUAAUUGGUGGGGUUUUAAUGUUGUGGGGGAAAAAAAGGCAGCUUUGGCCCGUCUUGAAGCAUUGGAGAAUGAUAACGCUGGGAUUGAAGCAGUUGAAAUGAACGAUGAUGAUGAAGCUUCUCUUGAUGAAGAUGAUCAAGGUUUUCUUCUUUUCUUUAUGCAGAAUUUCAUGGAAAUUUUCUGUUCUAAUCAUAAAUUUUGUGUCUCUACUUCGCUAACACUGAGAUGUUGGUCCCUCAGAAGAAGUUAGUCCAAUUUGGUAUCAUUGUUAUACUUUGCUGUUAAAUUGCUGACAUGAAGGGAACAAUGCAUGAAAAUCAACCGUUGAACAAUUUCUAUGCAACAAAAUUAACAAAAAUCAGCAGGACUAACUUAGAGAGAUUAACUUCUCGGUUUUCAUAAAGUAGAGCGAUGAGCUUCCUAAUUAGACUGAAUUUUCUUUAUUAGGACAAAAGGGUAGUCAUCCUUUGAAAUGGGUUAUUUCUUUAGUAGGGGAAAAAGAAGGGUAUUAAUCAGUUGAAUUAAGAUGCUAUUUCUGUUUGGGUAUGGUCUCACCCAGUGAUAUAGCAAAUUACAAACCUGUCUUUACUCUUUUGUUAGUUGAAAUUUUGAUUGGUGAGAGCAAGCAAUAAUAAUUUGGAAGAAAUUUGUUUCGUCCAUCAAAAUACCUACCCGAGAAAGUGAAAAUGUGAACUUUUUUCAUCUUAGUACUGUAUUAGAGUUUGAUUUAUGUUGUUGCUGUUAACAUUCCUACCCUCUGCAUUUGUUUCAGAAAUUGGUUUUAUUCAGAGCCUUAUGGAUAUUGAAGCUCAUACUCAUAGAUAUACUAGCACUGGUUAAGUGGAUGUUUUUACCUGAAGUUCUACCAUGACUACUCUUCAUUUUACAAGGAUGUUGCAUCCAUUUUUUUUUAAUGACGAAUAAGAUCUGUAUUUAUAAAGAGUAGGCUAGCCUAGUACAAAGUGAACUGCAUAGCAGUUUUACAAGUUUAAUAACCCAUAAUGACAAUGUUAGCAAAAAUAAACCGACUUGCUAAAUGGACAUGUCAUCUUCUAAUCCCCAAUUCUAUGCAAUCUUCCCAUUUAAUCUGUGUCCCCCGCAAUCUUUCCAACUCCAAAAAGUCUUACAUCUAACCUGUUCCUUGAUCAUAUUAAUAUCUGUCGCCGUGAAGUCCACUAUAUCUCUCAAUCUAGAUAAAGUAAAGUUAGGCACUCUAGGCUAGUGGAAGAAUUACUGCAAGUAGAGCCUUCUUGAUGAACCUAUUGAGUUCAGCAAUAGAUAUUAAUGGGAAGAUAUUUCUUUAGUAGGACAAAAAGGGAACAAUUCUAAAAAGAUCUCCUUAAUAUGAUCUUCUCAUAAGCUCCAAUGAUACAUAAAAUAUCACAAAAGUUGUAAUUGUUUGUGUAAUUGGAUAAUGUUUUGUGUAAUUCGUGUUACACAACAUUACGAGAGUUGUAAUAAUUUGUAUUAUUGGGUAAUGUUUUGUAAACAUUACAAAUAUUGUAAUAAUUUUUUGUUAUUGGGUGAUAUUUUGUGUAAUUACACAACAUUACAAAAAAUUGUAAAUAAUUUAUAUAAUUGAGUAAUGUUUUUUGUAAUUGGGUAGUAUCUAGUGUAAUUAUUUAAAAAGUUGUGAUAAUUUAUGUUAUUGGAUAUCGUUUGUUACUUGAUGAAAAACUUAUUUUAGAAAGUUAGCCCUAGAACUCCUCAUAGAAGGGUAUUGACCAUUCGGAUUAAGAUGUUGAUUCUGUUUUGAUAUUUCCUUGCACAGUGAAAUAGCAAGUAAAGAAAUGAGAUGUUUCUUUAGCAGGACAAAAAGGUACUAAUCAUUUGAAUUAAGAUGACUUUGAUAUCGUCUCAUUCAGUGAAAUAGGUAACAAAAAACCUGUCUUUUGGUAGUUGAAAUUUUGAUUGGUGAGAGUAAGUAGUACUAAUUAGGAAGAACUUUGUUUCAACCAUCAGAAUACCUACCAGAAAUGAUGAAAAUGAAAAUAUAAACUCUUUUUGUCUUAGUACUGCUUAAGAGUAUGAUUAAUGUUGUUGGUGUUAACAUUCCUAGCCUAUGCAUCUGUUUUCAGAGAUUAGUUUUCUUCAGAGCCUUAUAGAUAUUGAAGGUCAUACUCGUAGAUAUACUAGCUCUGGUUAAGUGAAUGUUUCACUAGAAGGUAUACCAUAACUAGUCUUUAUCUUAAAGGGUGUUUCACCGGACUAAUCUUCGUGACUUCAAUAUUUUUUUAUGAUAAAUCAGAUUUAUUUAUACAAUUUUUAGGCACUCUAUGUUAAUGGAAGAAUCACUGCAAGCAGAGCGUUCUUGUUGAACCGGUUGAGUUCAGCAAUCCAAUCUGCACUUGACCUCUCAAUACUUGUUGCCAAACCAGCUUGGUAACAUCAGUAUCAUCCUGUCUUCAAUUUUUUCCUGUCAUGGUUUUGUUGAUGGACUUUUUCUGUAUACGUAUUCAUUUUUCUACUCAUUUCAUGAUUCUUUCCGGUGAGUUUGGACUAUUAAAAAGCUUACUAUUAAACAUUUGUUGCUUCAAAUUAGUUGGGUACUAAUAUGUUUCCUACCUUCAAGACCUGCUUUAUUCAACUAACCGAUUAUUUGAAGUUGAUAAGGAAAUGUAACUAUCUUUGAAAUUUAUCUUCUAAUGUUAGUUUCGCGAAGCUGUUUUAUUAUUUUCAAAUCAUCAGGGUUGUCUUGCUUUUCUUGUUUUGAACUUUUCCUUUUUUUUUUUUUUUGAACUUUAUUUUCAGCAUACAUGCAAAAGAGAUCGAAGGGCACAAAACGUAAAACCCGACAGGCAAAAGCACUUGAAAAUGCUAGGAAGGCUCCCAGAUCAUUUCUUGAGCUCUUACAUGAGGUAAAAGGAUAGUGUUGUUUCUAGUCAUCCUGAUUUUAUCUCGAUUUCCUGCACUAACUAAUUCCUAUUUUUUGAAGGCAAACUUAGAGUCCUUGCCUCCUCAUGUUCCAUCCUAUUUGAGGGCAGCAGUGGGACCUCCAAGUUCUACCUCCCGCCGGCAUUUUUGCAGCGUUUGCGGCUUUAGUGCAAAGUAUACAUGUGUGACAUGUGGGAUGCGCUUUUGUUCAUGCCGAUGCCAAAAUAUACAUAACGAUACCCGAUGCAUGAAAUUUGUUGCCUGAGCGGUAAUAUUAGGAACCCAAAAGGAUUUUGUUGAUAUUAGCAGACAUUCAUCAAAUGCCAAAAAUAUUCUGUGGAUAUUGUUGUAAACAAAACUUUCAAAUGUAGUGUUGGUAAAACUAAGACUUUCUGUGAUAUUGUUUCUUGGUAGAAAUUGUAAAUCAAGCUUUCUGUUAAGGCUUAGCUAGCUCAGUGCAUCAUUCUGAUUUAUGGCCACAAGUAGAUGAUUGUAUGGUCACAAGACUUUCAUGAAGAUGCCUCGGCAGGUUGGACUGGUUUUAGAUUAGAUCAAAUCGGGUUUUAAAAUUUUCUAUGUCAUUUUGGUUUCGGCCAUUUGGGUUGGGUGAUUAUGAUUUAUUAAUUCAGAUCUCAUUUUAGGCUUUUGGUCAAUUGGGUUAAGGGUGUAAUCAAGUCGAGUUUAAAUACUAAAAAGCUUAAAGCUCAACUUAAAAUUUGGAGUUCGAUAUUUAGUUUGAGCUCGAUCAAAUUUCUAUUUUUAAGUUUGAGCUCGAAUUUGAUUAACUUUGUUUAUUAAUUCUGUAUUGUUUAAUUAAGUUCAUACUUAUUGAAACUCAAGCUUGAUCUUGACUUGAUAAUUAAGCUUAGAUUUGAUAAUAUAUUAAGAGAAAUAAUAUAAUUUAAUAAUGAAAAAAUGAUGAAAAGAUAUAUUAAAAAUGAAAAACUCGAUAAGGUUUGUAAACUGGUCGAGUCGUGAGCUUUAUCGAGUUGAGUAUUACUCAACUCAAAUUCAGCUCGAUUGAAAGCUCAAACAAGCUCGAUAAUUACCAAAUCGAGUUCGAGUGAGUAGUUAGCAAGAACUAAUGUCUUAUGUAUACCUCUAGUUUGGAUAAUUUUGAGUCCACGUUGUUUUAGAAAUAGAUUAAUUUAGUUUGGGAUUCAUAGUCAAAGGGAAGUCUUGAGAAUUUAUCAUCUCUUAUUUUAAUAAAUAGUAAAUUCUGUAACACUAACAAUAGAAAAAGAUAAAAUUUGGGCUAUUACAGACAUAACCUGAAAUCCUCGUCUUUGUUCUUACAACCACUACAUUGAUAAUGCCAAAUACUUCAACUCAAGACAUACAACAUUUAUGCAAACAAAGCUAUUAAAUCCUUGAAUCCAAAUCCGGGUAAUACAGUUCUACGGACUCGAGUAAACAGCUAUGACGGAGCGUGUAAUAUCCGUUCUUUAGCACUGAGGCAGAUCGAGUGGUGGAGGCUGCACUGUCUGCAAUUCCCCAACCCCAUUCUCAACUAGGAAAGCCAUGGCCAAGCCCCAAGGGAGAUGAGUGUCUAUGUGACAAUGGAGCAGCCAGAUUCCUGUUUUUGGACCAGUUUGAGUAAAUGACGAGAGUCAACAUAUUGAAGCUGUUUAAUUUUGAAUUAGAGGAAUGUUUUAAGUAUGGCAUGUUACCUGGAUUGUCGGCCUCGAACCGGAUGGCUACCCAUCCACCAGGAGGUGUUCCGAUGGUGUUUCUCCUGGGCGGAUCGAUAAGGUUGAAUUUGGCCGGAUCAGUUCCGGGAUUGAAGUUACCAAAACCACUUCCGAUAACGUAGAACUCGUAGCCGUGAAGAUGCAUAGGAUGAUUUUCAACUGUGACAAUACUUGUACCCUGGAACACUAUUUGUACCUUGGAACGAUACCUUAGUUUAAAGAGCUUUGUUGCUUUUACCGGUUGCCAGAGACCUCGGCUCACGUUGCCUGUAUAAUCGAAUUGAAUGGGAGGAACAGGCGGAAAGUCCGUGGUGAAGAUACCGGGUUGGCCUUGGUAGUAUGCCUGCAUUAAGGAGUUUCUUCUUGGAAAUACAAAGGAGACAUUGUUAAUGCUGGCUGCAAAGCGAGUUCCGUUGGGGCCUUGGCAUCGUGGGCUGUUCGGGUUUGUGCAGUUGAUUAGUCCUAAUCCCACAGUGAAAAGCAAGCUCUCAUCGAUCUUCAUGGGAACUUCAGCCUUGUAAGGACUCCUUAGCUGGGCAGUGAAUGCAGUUGCAGUGGCAGUGUCAUUGAACCCUGGUAGCUGAGGGAAGAUUGGUUUCAAAGGCUGCCCUUUCUUGGCGCCGCAAGGAGCAGAUUUAUAUUCUAGGAUUGCUGUUGUGGUGGUAUUGUCAAAGGGCGCAUUCGCGGAGUUGUAGGCAUGCGCGGCCAUGUAGUAACGAGCCGGUUGCUGAUCAGCGGUAAUCAGGACAUCAGUUGUUUGGCCAGGAGCUAUCAUUAUGACAUUUGUUGUGAAAGGCUUAGUGUAGGAAGCAUCAACAGCAACAACAGUUAGUUUGUGGUUGGCAACUCCAUAGAAAAGUUCUUGAUUCAAUGCAGAAUUGAUGAUCCUCAGAAGAAUCGUCUCGCCCGCUUCCACUGGAAAUACAGCAGUUUCUGCAUUUGCAAUUUGAUCAGUUACUACUUCAUCUUGACUUUCGAGUUAAAUGGUGAGAGCAUACCUUUGCUAGAGCAUCUAUAUAGAUCCCCUGGUUGACCAUUAAUUGUAAAUGCAUCUGAUACAUUUGGAGCAGCUCCAGUGAAAAGUGCUUGCCUUAGCACAUCCAUUGGAUUCCUAUCCCACCAUUCUCCUGUUUAUCAUCAUCAUCAUAGUCCAUAUCAGUUAUGCUACAUACAUACAUACAUACAUACAUACAUACAUACAUACAUACAAAGAUUGAUGACAUGGGGUUACCAAGAAGAAUAGGAAUUUCUUUCUUAGGCAUAAGGAAAGGGUACGGACGACCCAUCUUAGGAUAUAUGAUGAGAGCUCCAUAAACUGUGGCUCUAAGCCAUCUGCUAUGAGCAUGCCACCACAAAGUCCCCUCCUGGUUUUGGAUGGUGAACCGGUAUGUGUAAGACCUCCCCGGUUGGAUAGGACACUGCGUCACAUACUCGGGUCCAUCGGCCCACGGAUUUCGCAACUGUCGCAGUCCGUGCCUGAUCAACGGAAGUCAAUACAAUGAUACCAAAGUAAAUAUAGUGUGUAUCAAAUAUAGUUUGCAUAAAGAUUACCAGUGGAGAGUGGCAUUGUAUCUGGCUCUAUUUAUAGCAGUGAUCACCAGAGUAUCGCCAUCUCGAACUUCCAAUGUCGGCCCCGGGAAUUGGCCGUUCACCGUAAUUGUACUAUGAGUUCUGCACAGCCUCUUCACUGGUUUUGCUUCAAUCUGUUUCAACAAAAAAAGAGGAAAAAAUUCAACAAAAAAGUAGUGUAAUAGUGUUAUAGUACUUGAUUGAAAUUUAUGUUAAGAUGAAGGCAUACAACAAAUUGAUGGAAAUGAAUUGCAGCAUCUGCAAAUGAUGCUAUGAAAACAAAGACUAAAAGAAUGGCAAAGAAUAAGUGAGAGCUGCAUGGCUUAUCACCGAGUUUGUGAUACUCCAUUUGAGGGGCUGAUAUGUGAGCUUGGUGUUCAUAGGGAGCAGCUAUUUAUGGUGUGGAAAAUUGGGAAAAGUAACAAUAAUUUAACAGUUUAUUUUUUUUUUAAGAAAAAAAAAUUGUUUUGGCAAAAUUAGGUUUCAAGUCAACUAGAGAACUUGAAAAAGUUUUAGUAUAAACUAUAGUCUAAACCAUAAAGAGGAUUUGGUGCACCCACUGUUGGACUAAAACUCAUGAACAAAAGCACUCUCAAUCCUCAAAUGUAAUACUUCUAAUCUUUUCCUUUCCAUGAUCCUUAUUGACUUAAAUCUUUCAAUCUUGCAUGGAGAACGAUGGAAUCUGUGGAUUUAUUUAUCUAAGGUCCCUAAACCAUUGUGCAAAUUUUAAAUUGGUCUCUAUUAGAGAUGGCAACGGAAAGGGGAAAAGCACCGCUCCCAGCAUAAUCCGACCUAACCUAAAAUUAAAUAUCAAUUUAUCUACUCGGAUCUCGACUAAAAAAUAUACUUAAUUUCGAAUUUGUAGAAAAAAUCAUUUAUCAAAAUAGCAUAAUAAUGUUCAUUUUUCUUGUUUUGUAAUGACACUAUUAAUUGUUUUCUAGGUAUAAUUAUGAUUGAGCAAAUAUUAAUAUAAAACUUAUUGUCAUAUAUUUUAAAUUAAUAUUAUAUAUAAAAGGGUAUUUUGGUAAUUAUCCUGGGACGAGCGGGUUUUCCUAAACUCAAUCCUGACUUGACCCGACUUAUUGAAGAAGUAGACCUGACCCAAAAUUCUAUCCGAUCAAAUCGAGUCGGAACACAUGAACCCGAGUGUUUUUUUUUUUUUGCCAUCCCUAGUCUCUAAUCUUCCAAAUGUUCUUAUUAGUCUUCAAAGUAUCAAUAUUGUAUCCAUAAGAUCCUUUCAAUUGUUUAGGCAUUAAAUGUUUGUUCAGAUCUAACGUGGAACUUUUUAAAACAUGUGGAUCAAAUGUAAAUAUGUAUGUACUUAUUGUAUAAAUAGUUUGGAUUUGACAUGUUAAAAAACAUAGAGCGUCGUUAAAAUUUAGGAUAGUUGUUCUUUUUGGACCGGUUUUAUCUAAACAAUUCAUACAAUAAAUACAUACGUAUUUACAAUUUGAUUUACUUAUUUUAAAUAUGCUUUACUUUUGUGUUACCACCUAAAGUCUUUAAUUUCUUGAACUGUCAAAGUUGAAUGGAAGUGCCUGACUAUAGUGGAAACUAUGGCUUGGCACUACGAAAUCCAUGUAAACAAAAUAACAAAGAACAGAAAGGUUUGUUUACGAAGUUCAGUUUUUCUACUUCUAAUAAGUCUACCUCAGUGAAUAAUUUCGUUAUCUUUAAUCCACAAUACAACAAGUGAAUUAUACUCUAUCACUCUCCAAGUAUAGAAAUCUCACUUUUCUACAUAAAAACUUGAACACUCACCCCUAAAUUCUCCUCCUGAGAAUUUAAGCUAUAAACUCUAAUGGUUUUCAAUUCAAUUGCACUCUCUCAACAUAAUUCCACAAUGAACAAAACAAAGUGCUCUCAAUGAAGCUCUCUUUUAAACUUAGACAAGCCUUAAACCAUAUAUAGGUUUCGACUUGCUAACAUAGAAAUUAAAUGAAUGCAAAACAACCCCUUAAAAAGCAAUUACAUAAUAUACUAAUAAAAGCAUAAUUUGAUGAAAAUAUGGUCUCUUAAAAAUAGUAGCGCAAUCUCUAUCAAAUCUUCGCAUAACAUAGGUUGAAUUGAUUCACUCGAAUCCAAUCCAAUUUUCAAUAGCCACAAAUUGUUUUCCAUCUUCAACAUGUCAACACAUUAACUAGUUCAAAGAUUUUGCUUCAUUAAAUUGCCAACUCAAUUAUGACAAGUAAUAUCACUGCCUCAGUGGCAGUUUGUAGUGGGCACUAUCAAAUGCCACUCAGCUCAUUUAGCACAACCUACUUCAACAGUCAAACCUCUAUCAAGGUUGGUCUAGCCUUCCAUAUUAAAAGCAUACAUCCAUUUUCACAAGGUAAGCUUCAAUUCAUCUUGAUUUUCCCAAUUCGUAUCAAAUUGAAUAUCCUUAAUAUAAAGCCACAAAAGAUCAUAAAAUCAACACAUAUCUUCUUCGAUAGUAUAUCUUAGCAUGCAAAGUAAGUAGAUCACCUAAGAAUCCUUGAAAAGUAAUAUUGCUAGAUUCAAUCUCUUCUCUAAUGAUAAACAUGAAAUUGGCUAUACAAAAUUUUUAAAAAGAGACAAGCAAAUCAUCAGAAUAUUUUGGUCAAACAUGUCAACGAAUAAGACAAGUUUCAUAUCUAGCGCAGUGAUUGACUGAAGUGAACACUUCUAUUAGCCACUUCCAAAGCUUGCUUCAACAUCUUGAUUUUGUUAAAAAUAAUUAAAUGAUAUUAAAUACCCUUAAAUUUUUUUACGUGAAACAAACAUUAUAAAUAAAAUAACAUGUAAAUUUAACUAAAAGCUUAAUAGAAUUUUAAUUUUAACAAUUUGACCCCUGAACUAUAUCACUUCUCCAUUUAAUGCUUUAAACCAAAGCUAUAAAAAAAUAGAUUUCAACGUCAAUCAUCGUGUCACACUCUACCAUCAACUGUCACUUAUCCACGAUUUUUUGAGUCCAAAUUUCAUUAUCUCCUUGUUUUUGAUCUUCUCUUUUCAUUUUCUCAAAAGAAGACUAGAUUUUCCUAGAUCUACAAAUCAAUUUCAAAAUUUUAACAUCAAAUCUAAGUACUUCCCACCUUUGGGUCACUUUCAAAUUUCAAUAUGUUCUUACCCUCUUUACAGGAUUCUCUUUCAUCAUUAAGAUGAAUUGAACAAUACCUACAACAUUUUAAAUAAUGUUUUGGCGUAAAUUGAUGUAAAAGCCUGAUUUUCAGUGAUGUCAAAAAUAGUGGUUCGAGACCACCAAAUUCAGAAAAUAAGCUAGUAAACUUUUAUUAUUUAAUAUUUAUGAGUCAAAUGUGGUUUUUAAAAGAUUUUUGAAUUAGUAAUUUGUGUUUUAUAAGGCUUUAUUAGGUUAAGUGAUUUAGAAAAGAGGUAUCGAGAUCUCAGUCCUAUAAACCAAGCCGUAAAUAUUUUUAUAAACAUUUAAAAGGUGUCAUUAAGGUAGUAUUAAAGUUUCGUUAGAAAAUUUUAACGUUUUGAUAGUUAAUUAAUUAAAAAGAACUAAAUUGAAAAAAAUGCAAAACUUGCUAAUUAAAGAAAUAGUGAUUAAAUAGCCUAAAUAGUAAAUAAAGGAGGACUACAAGAGAAAUUGGACCCACAUGGGAUGACUGAGGCGGCAUAACCAUAGAAAAAUCAAGGAAUUGAUGUGAAAUAAGGGCAAAAUUGUAAAUUUUGCCAAUUUUAAGUGAAAUAAAAGGGAAAUUGAAAUUCCAGACAUUUUCAUCAUCAUUUUUCAGUUCUAAAAUAGCCAUUGAAGAGGGUUUAAGUUGGUUUUUCAAUAUUCUUCAUGUAAGUUUAAUUUUCGCUCUUUCCUUGAAAUUUUUUAUGUUUUGAGACUUUUACAAUUAGGUCCAACUAACCAUUUCAUUAGUUUUUUAUUUUGUUGAAAGUUUUGGAAGAUACCAUUGAUAAUUUUAUAUGAUUUUAGUUAUUAGAUGAUGAAAUUGAGAUGUUUAUGAAAAUUUAAAGCUAUUUUAUUAAAGGAUUUUGGAUGAAAUCAUGAUUUAGGGAUUAAAUUGAAAAGUUGUUGAAUUCAUGGAAAAUUCUAAAAUUUCAUGGAAUUCAUGGGAUGCUAUUGAUAUAUGUGAAAAUAUAUAGGCUUGGGAUAAUGAUUUAAAUUGCAUGAAUUUCAUUUUCCGAGCUUAGGGAUGAAAUCAUCAUUAAUUAAAAGUAUUGGGGUAAAAUGGUAAUUUUGCCUAAGAUGUGACUUGGAUUGAAUUGAAUGUAAAUUGUAUUAAAUUGAUGUUAAAUUUACUCGUAUAGAUCCAGAUAGAUCAAAAAUGGAGUUAGAUCAUGGAGAAGAAAAGUAUCGGAUUAGUAGUUUACAAGUAACGAACAAUUGUCGAGGUAAGUUCAUGUAACUUAAUUGUGUAUAUUUAUAUACUCAUAUUAAGUGUUGAAUAUGUAAAUUGAGUAAAUUUCAUAUAUGUGUAUGUAAUUGAUCUCAUAACUGAAAAUCCUUGAUAAAUAAAUAAGUCCCAUUUGGAUAAUGAGAUUCGAUGGAUACAGGGUUCUGUUUCCCGAAAUGGUAGUGUUCCUGCAUAUGUUGCGGAUGUACCGUAGCUCGAAAGAGCGUCCCGUUACAAGCCCUCUCAAGCUUCCCGUUAUAGUGUUCUUACGAGCUUCUUGUUAAAUGCUCUUCGGAGCAUCUCGAUCGAUUGUUACCCUACAUGUGUUAUGGGCAUACUACAGCUCUUAUGAGCGUCCCGUUACAUGGCUCUUCGUAAGCUUCCCGAUUAAAGGCUCUUUGUGAGCUUUCCGUUAGUGUUCGUUUGAAAUUCCCAUUAUAUGGCUAUCCAAUACUUCCCGUUAAUUGCUCUUCGUGAGCUUCCCGUUAUAUUGCCCGGAUAAGCUUCCCGUUACAAGACUCAAUGUGCUUCCUGUUAUAAUGCUUGAGAGAGAGCUUUCUAUUUAAGUGCUCAUAAAAGUACUCCCGGAUAUGAAUUGACGGAUUUAUAGUAUUGUACACUUCAGGUGUACUACCCAAGUAUCCAUCGAGAUUUCAAAUGAUUCAACGGGUGAAAUUCUGACAUGAGAACAUGUGAAAUAAAAUGAAACUAUUAUUUGUAUAUGCAUGAAAUACUUGGAAACUCGAUACCUAAUGAGCUAAUCUUUGUUCUUGUUAUUCACAUGAAAUACAUGACUAACAUGUUUGUUGAUGUUAUAUGUGUUAGGCUAAUUGCCAAAUUGCUUUGGAUGUAUUAUGCAUGUUUAUUAUAUAAGUAAAUGAAUGGUAAGUUAAUUUUCUGUUAUACGAACUUACUCAGCAUUAAGUGAUUACUCUGUCUUAUUUCCUCUAUUUUAUAGCACUCGGAGGCUUGUAAAGGUUGGAAGCUGGUCGGAGCUACAUCACACCAUCCAUCGAACUUUUCAGUAUAUAUAUAAAUAGUAAAGUAAUUUUGGUAAUAAUGGCAUGUAUAGGUUAAAUGUUACCAUUGAUGGCAAUUUAAUGUUGGUUGAAAUUAGCCAUUGGAAUGACUAUUAAAUGAUAUGUUUUGAUAUGUAAAUAAUCUUAAUAUGCUUGACGAGUAUGUUUAAAGGGUGAAUGAGGAAAAUCAUAAAAGUAUAUCGGAGAUUAGUUUAUGAUAGUGUGUUUGGUAAAACAUGUUUAUAAGUAUUAGGCUAUCUUGGAAAGUUGGACAUUUGAUCAUAGGUAUUAAUAUGUCAUGCAUAAGACUUGAAUUUGGCUAGGUUUAAAUAUCUUGAAUUGGCUCUUGAAUGUGUUUAAAUGUUUAUAUAGGUGGAAGGUGAAGUUGGGUGAAGAACAAGGCUUAAAAACGACCUUAUUUUGUCCACACAGGUAGAGACUAGAGGUGCUCAUGGGCCAGGCCGGGCCGGGUUCGGGCUGGGCCCAUAAAAAAAUUUUAGCCCGGGUCCUAGGCCCGGGCCCGGCCCGGCCCAAAAUAUGGCCCUAAGAUUUUGCCCAGGCCCGGCCCGGGAAAAAAUCAUAAGCCCGGGCCUGACCCGGCCCGGCCCAUUUUUAUUUUAAAAAUUUUAAAAAAUUAAAAAAAGUAUUUUAAAAAUAUUUUUAAAAUAUUUUAAAAUUAAAAAAAAUUAAAAAAGUAUUUUUAAAAUAUUUUAAAAUUAAAAAAAGUAUUUUAAAAAUAUUUUAAAAUUUAAAAAAAUUAAAAAAAGUAUGUAAAAAAUAUUUUAAAAUUAAAAAAAUAUAUAUAUAUUUAUUAUGUUGGGCCGGGCCGGGCCCGGGCCAAAAAAGUGGUGCCCGAGGCGAGGCCCGUUUUCUAAACGGGCCUCAUUUUUGCCCAAGCCCAUAUUUUGGGCCUAUAUUUUUACCCAAACCCUCCCAUAUUUCGGGCGGGCCGUCGGGCCGGGCCGGGCCGCCCGGCCCAUGAGCACCUCUAGUAGAGACACGGGCGUGUGUCUCAGCCAUGUGUGACACACGGCCUAGCACAUGGGCAUGUGUUCUGGCUGUGUGUCCCCUGCAUCUUAAAAUUUUAAAACAGAAUGGUCAAAAUUGAUCACACGGCCUGGCAUACGGGCGUGUGGCUUGGCCGUGUGACCCAUGCACUUAGAUGUAUUGCAAACCAGAGAGUUACACGGGCUGGGGAUAUAGUCGUGUGCCCUUCUUCAAAUACCACACAGCCUAAGACACGGGUGUGUCACUUGGCCGUGUGAGCCAUACUGCCUGACCAUACAGGCAUGUGUCCUCUGCACCUUGGAAAAUUUUGAAAUUUCAUAAAAAAUUCUCUGAGUUUCCAAUUUAGUCCCGAUUUGAUUCUAAAGUGAAAUUUGAGCCUCGAGGGAUCUCAUAAGGGACUUUAUGAAUAAUAUCCGACAUGAAUGUUAAAUAAUAAUAUGAUAUGUCUGUAUUUAAUCUGUUUAUUUUGAUAAUACUCUAUAACCCUAUUCCGGCGACGGAUACGAGUUAGGGGUGUUACAAUUGAUAUGACAUAAAUUGAUAUUAUUUGGUGUACUGUGAUGACGAGUAUGAUAUAGAUUGGAUUAAUAUACCAUUUGAUACUUAUAUUUGGCUUCAAUGUUAAAUUGAUAUUUGAGGCUUUUUUGUUCCAAUUUGGUAUCUAAAUUAGGUUUCAAUGUUCAAUUUGGUACUCAAACUAAAACAUCAUGUGGCACAAUAAAUAUUUGACAUGUAUGCUCUAGUAAAAAAAGAUAUGUACUUAAUUGGGACAAAAGAAAAACUUAGGUACCGAAUUGAACAUUAAAGUCAAACUUAGGUAUUUCUAUGAGACAAAAAAAAAACUUAGGUACCAAUUUGAAAAAGCUUAGGUUCCAAACUAAACAUUGAAGUCAAACUUAGGUACCAAAUUUGGAUAAAAUAAUCUCAAAUACCAAAUUGAAUAUCGAACUCAAAUAUAAGUAUCAAAUAGUAUAUUAACCCAUAAUUUUUUGUGUUGAUGAAGAAGAUGAGGAGGAGAGAUACGAUCAUUAGAUAAAAAUUUUAUUUUAUUUAACAUAUAAUUGAAAAUUAAAAGUUGAAAGAUUUUCCUCCCCUAACAUUGUUAAUUCCAAUGACUGAAUUGAUAAACCAAAUUUACUUUACUACUAAAGUUUUAGAUAUCAAAACGAGAAAGUGAUAUAAUUCAAGGGCCAAAUCAUUAAUAAAAUCUUUUUUUUAUGUGUAUUUGUAUUUUUAUAUUCUUAACAACUCACUUUAAAUGGUUUAUGUAAUAGGCCAAUUUAGCCAGGGCCCAAACAGAAACCGAACAUAUAAAAAAUAAAAAUUAAAGAUAAUAGAAUCCAUUACAACAGUCUGUUUACAGAAAACAUCAAGCCCAAAUUUACAAGCCCUAAUGGCCCAAAUAAAUAAAUAAAUAAACCUAAAGGCUAGUGGCCCAAUGACCUAAAUUGUUUUUUGGAAAAGCCAGAAAUCCUAGGGUUUCUGCGCACCGCCGCCUCUACUUCACCAUGUCAACACGAACGACACCUGAGGUGUAACAGCCCGUUUUCAGUGAAAUCGAAAUAAUGGUUUCAGGACCACAAAUUUGAGGUCAAAAUAAAAUUUAUUUUAAUAUUAUUUUAUGGUCUACAGUAUGAUAGAAAUAUCGUAUGAAAAUUUCGUUAAGAAAUUUUACCGUUUACAUGCCUAACUUGAUAAAAAGGACUAAAUUGCAUAAAGUUUAAAAAUUAAAUUCUAGUAGUUAAAAGUAUCAAAUAGCUAUGGAAUUUAAAAUUGGAAGUCCUUAUAUAGCAAAUAGACCAUUUAGAGUAGUUAGUAGAUAAGAAUGAUUAUUCAUCAUUGAAAAUUUAAUAAAUUAGUAAGGUUAAUUUUGGAAAGUUAAUAAAAUAAUGAUGAUAAAAGAAUUAAACAAUUAUUGUUAUCAUUCAUUCUUAUAAUCUUUCAAAAAAAAUAUGGAAACCCUAGCCAUGGAAGCUUAAGUUCUAGCAAACUUAUUAGGCUUAAUUAGAUUCGGAUAGACCUAAUACGGAGUUAAGUUGAGGCAAAGAAAAAUUAUCGGAUUAGUAGCGUUCAUAUCUACAUAUACUUAUCGAGGUAAGUUCAUGUAACUAAUUUGUAUAUUUAAAUGCUUUAAAUUGAAUAUUGUUGUGUGUGAUUUGUACAAAUUUCCAUGUGUAAUUAUGAUCACAUAUCGGAUAAUUAUCGAGUCCCGUUUGAACCUUAAAAAUUCGAAGGAUACAAAUGACAUGUCAUUAGGGUUCUCGAUAUGGUUGUAAUCAUGCAUGUGUUACAUAUACAUCAUAGCUCACUUGAGCUUCCUGAUACUUGGCUCUCAUGAGCUUCCCGAUAUUUGGCUUGUAAGAGCUUCCCAAUAUACAGCUUGUAUGAGCUUUCCGUUACUUAGCUCACAUGAGCUUCCCGUAUAUGGCUUGGAAGAGCUUCCCAUUUACAUGCUUGUAUAAGCAUACAAGUACAUGAAUUGAAGGAUUACAGAUUUGUACACUUCGUGUGUACUAUCCAUGUAUCCAACGAUAUUUUAAAUGGUUCAACGGGCAAAGUUCUGAUAUGAAACAAUAUGGGUUCGAAAUGAACAAUUACGAGUAUAUACUUGAAUUACAUGGAAAUAACAUUACCUGAUAUAUUGAAAUAUAAUAUGGAUGAUACAAGUAUGUGAGUCUUACCUAGUGGUUAUGUACAUCCAUGUUUAUUGGUUAUGAAAAGUGUUACAUGGCUAACAUGUUGAGGAUAUGUGUUUAGGCUUUUGGCCAAAUUUGUUUGGUUAUAUUAGCAUACUUACCUUAAAUGUGAUUAAAUGGUAAGUUAAUUUCCUUGUUAUACAAACUUACUAAGUUUAAACGCUUACUCUGUGUUAUUUUUCAUGUUUUAUAGUAAUUUGGAAGCUUAUUUUGGUUGGAAGUUGGUCGGAGCAACUUCACACUAUCCAUCAGCCUUUUCGGUAUAAUUAGUAAAUUAGUUUUGGUUAUAAUGGCAUGUAUAGGUUAAUUUGGCCAAUGAUGGCAUAUAAAUGUUUUGUUGGAACUAGCCAUUUGAAUGACUUGUGAUGGAUAAAUUUUGAUGUGUAUGUAAGUGGCCUUAUCAUGUUUGAUGUGUGUUUGAAAUGGUUGAAUGAUGGAAAUCUUAUAGGUAUAGUGAUGGUUGGGUUGAAUAGGUAUAUUUGGUAAAUUAUGCAUAUAUGUAUUUGGUCAUGUAGGUAAAAUUGGUUAUUUGAUUGAUAUGAGUUAUGUUGUCAUUUAAAGAGCCUAAGGGUAUAUUGUUGGUAUAUGAUAGUAUUACAUGUUUAAGCAUUGAUUUUGGCUUGAUUUGGAUGCCUUGUUAUGGCUUGUUGAUGUCCAAAAUGUUGAUUUAGGUUGAUGACAAAUUGGGUGAGAAAUAUGGCUAGGAAAAUGGUCUAUUUUUGUCCACACGGGCAGAGACACGGGUGUGUGUCUCAGCCGUGUAUCCUUUGUAUCUUUAAUUUGCACAAAACAAAAUGCUCUCAUGGCCUAGCACAUGGGCGUGUGGCUUGGUUGUGUGACCCAAGUCAGAGAGUUACACGGGUAUGGACACGGGUUGGGACAUGGUCGUGUGCCCCUAUUUCGAAUACCUAUACGACCUAAGACACGAGCGUGUCUCUUAACCGUAUGAGCCACAUGGGCAUGUGUCCCCUGCACCUUUGAAAAUUUCAAAUAUUUUCUGAAAAAUUCUUUGAGUAUCCGAUUUAGUCCCGAUUUGUUUUGGGCCUCGAGGGCUCAUAUAUAGAAUAAUAUGUAUGAUUUUGAUUGAUUUCUGAUAUAAAUAUAAUAUGAUGUGAAAUUUUUAUCUAUUUGUUCUGUAAACUUCGGUAAUACUCUGUAACCCUAUUCCGGCGAUAGAUUCGGGUUAGAAGUGUUACACGAGGUCUGCCACCAUUUCACCAAAGUAGCAAGGGAGCGCCUUUCCCCACCGUUAACUCCACCACCACUUGUAAAAAUAGAAAGAACGAAAGGACAAGAACAAUAAAAGGAAACAACAUAAAAAACAGUAGAAACAGUAGAAAAAUAGUAAAAAGAGAGAGUGUAAUUUGAUUAUAAAAGCCACGACUUUUAUGUAUUUCUUUUUUGGGGACAAAAAAAAGCAAUAAAAAAAGAGAACAGAAUACAAAGAAAUCUUAAAAGGUGAUCCCUUUAUUUUAAAUCUAUUUUUCCUUUUUUUUUAAACAACAUAAAAUAAAAAGAAAACCCACCUGACACUUCGUCUUCAGCCAUCGUGGGUGGGCGAGGACUCCGUCUCCAAGGAAAGACAAUCCUCUCCGAUGCGAAGGACCUUUGAAUCCUUAAAGAUUCGUUGGAGACUUCGUCUAAUAGAAGAAAACCGAAAGGUUUUCUCUCCUUUUCCAAAAUUUUGGUUUUAGUUUUGGGAAUUUCGACUCCGGAUCGGAGUUUUACGUGAAAAAGGGAGUUACAAGUGGGGUUUUUUAUUUUUCCGGUGAUCGGUGGCCGCGGUGGACGAACAACGGCACCGAUGGCCGGACUUGCGAUGAUUUCAGAGAAAAAAAAGGAUUCUCAAAAUUAUUAUUUUUAAAACUGGGGUUGAAAUGUUUUUUUUUUUGAAAAUUUUUAGUAUAUAUAGGGCCAUUACACGACGUCAUUUGGGGCUGGCUUCAAAAACCCCAAAACGACAUCGUUUUGAAACAGAACCCGACAACUCGACCUGAACCGCACAGGAUCUGCGUGUUUUUGACAUAGGGGUCUAUUUGUGCCUUUGGUCCUUUUGCUUUUGCAACUUGUUUCAAUUUAGUCCUAUUAUUUUUUAUUAUUUUAUUUUUUCCCCUGUAAUUUUGAAUCGCUUACAAAUUAGUCCAUUGACUCAACGCCAACCUUCUGGGGAUGACACGUGCCCUGAGGUUGGGAAUAUUUUCCCAUUCUCCUUGUUCUUUUUAGCGCGUUACAUUUUAGUCCUUCAUUUAGGAAUAUUUCCCUAUUCGGUCCCUGUUCUUUCUCGCUUGUUACAUUUUAGUCCUUAUUAAUCUAUUUAUUUGUUUUAUUACGAUUUAUGCCCUUAAUUUCAUUUAAAUUUUGAUCUAGUCCUCUAUUUUCAACCUUUUAUUUUUUUUUGUUUAUUUAUUUAUUCAUUAUUUCUUUACUCUUUCUUAUAUAUUUAAAAAUCGUUGUUUACAUUUCAUUCUAUUUGUGUAUUUUUUGGCUAUUUAUUAUUAUUGUCAUCAUUAUUAUUAUUUUUCAUUCUUGUUAUGUUAUUAUUUCUUUUAUCGCUUUCGACACUUUCACAUUAUUUAUACUUACCUUUUCAAUUAUGCAUCUUUCAUUUUUAUUUUGAAUUGCCUUAUUUAUUUUAUUAUCUAAUUUGGUAUUAUUAUUAUCCUUAUCAUUAUUGAUCAAUGUUAUUAUCAUUAUUAGUAUAGUUAUAUUAGUCAUGAUACAUUAUUGCUAUCGCUACUACUAUUUCAUUUCUUAUAAUAUUAUUUAAUUUCUGCUACAACCAUGCCACUAACCGUGUUUAAAUAUAUUUAUUCGUUUUUAUACUAUGCCCAAAUAAGUUAAAUACACAUUACUUUAAAUGUUAUAUUUGUUUUUACUCGAUGCAUAAAAAAAGAAAAAUUUUUAAAAUCAAGGCAAUGUUCUGUAUUUGGAGAUUUGAGAAGUUGUGCCCUAACUUAAGGGGCUCGACUUUCUCUUUGAACCUAGAUAACCGAGCAUCCCUUUUUAAACUAAAACGUGUGAGAUUUAAAUAGAGAUUAAAUAAUGGGCAAGCUUAUUUUUGAGGAUUCGAGAUGUCGUGUCCUAUCUUAUGGGAUAUGAUCUUUUCGUUUUAGUUACCUCGAGAUAAGGAGACCUUUUACACAUGUUUUAAUUUACUUUAAGUGAUUUUAAUUAAAAAUAUCAUUAUGCAAAUUUUCAAAAAUCUUUUCAAAUUUUCAAUUCUCAAUGCUAAGACAUCAAGUAAUCAAUUAGGUACCAAAUUUGGGCGUAACGAGGGUGCUAAUCCUUCCUCGCGCGUAAUCGACUCUCGAACCCAUUUUCUGGAUUUUGUAGAUCGAAAAACAUUGUUUAAUAAAUUAAACCUCUUAUUAAAACGAUCAAAUUACGAGGUGAUUUAAUCACACCUCAUGAAAGUGAUUGGUGGCGACUCCAUUUUAGUUUUUAAAAAAAUAAAAAGUCGAUUUCAAAAAGGUUUCGACAAUUUAUAUUUUAAUAAUUAUUGAGCAUAAGGACCUAAUAUAGAGCUUGUAUAUAGCACAAUCAUGUGUAAAAAUACCAUAGAGGUAUUUGUAUUAGGAGUUGGAUUGCAUUUUGCCCCCUCUACUCAGAAAAUAGGCAAAUUAGUCCUUAUACAUUAGAUAAAAGAGUAAAUUGGUCAUUUUGUUAAAAAAUUCAUCCAUUUCUACUAUUAAAAAUUGAUACAUGUAUGUUAGCAUGAGGUACACAUGGCAUAUCACAUGUAAUUGUCUAGUUAUUUUGUCAGUCGCACCAGUUUAUAAUAGUAGCAAUUGAUGAAAUUUUUAAUAGAACAGACCAGUUUGCUCUUUGAUCUAAUGUACACGGAAUAAUUUACUCAUUUUUUGAAUAAAGGUGACAAAAUGCAAUUUAACUCCUAGUACAAAACUUUCAUGAUACUUUUUAUCCACAACCAUGACGAUUUUUCAUUAAAAAGCAUAUAACAUUAAUACUUAUUUAUGACAAACAAAUUCAUCUUGCAUUCAUAAAUGAAGAUCAAACUCAAAGAAACAUUAAUAAAAUUAAUAACACCGUAAAGUCUUUCAUUAAUGAUGUUUGAAUCAGAUUGGAUCAAUUGAUCAGGUCAAUUAGAUAAAAAAUUGGUUGGGGUAUCGGAUCGAUUGAAUCGCAAAGUGAUAUAGACUGAUUGAAUCAACAAAAAAAAUCGGUUAAACUAAUAGUUAAAUCGAUUUUUAUUUUUAAUAUAUAUUAUUUUUAUAAAAUUUUAAUAAUUUUUUAAUCGAAUCGAUCCAAUCAACAAACCGAUGAUUUAAUCAAUUCAAUCAUCGAUUCAAUUCUAAAAACCUUAUGUUUUUGAAGAAUCAUGACUGAUGUCUUCUAAUUAAAUAUAUAAAUUAAAUACUUCUAAGUGUUAUAUGUGAACCAUAGUUAAAAAAGAAAGACUCGAUUUGAUUUCUGAAAUAUUUUCUGGUUUUUAAAUAUUAAAAAAUAGAUUUGGUAAAUAAAAUAAAAUUUUAUUUUUAUAAUAAAAAUAUGAAAGAUGCAAUUUUCUCAUAAUAAAAACAUGAGAAAUAAAAUAAACAAUUACUACAUUUACAUAGAUUUGAAUAAGGGGAAAAUAAUUUUAUUUUUUAAAAAUUGUUAAAAGAUAAACAUUUUUACCUUUGAAUGAGGACCAAAUAAUUAAUUAAAUUUUAACAUUUUCAUUUUUACAAAAUAAUUUUAAUGAAAACAACGAAAAUAACAUUUUUAUUAUUUUCUAAUUUUUGCAUAACUUUCUUUUCUUUUCUUUUUUCAUAUUUUCAUUUUCUUUUUUUUUUCAAAAAUUGUUUUUAAAAUUCUCAAUAAAACACGUUUUCCUUAAGAUGUGUUUGAGAGAUCACUUAGUAAUUGAAUUUUGAUAUACUUGUUUGUAAUUACAUAUCGUUAACAUAUUUGGGCAACCAUUGUAAUUAGUAAUGUCCAGUUAUUCAUUGCUUUUGAAAAAUUCUUUUGAAAAGUGUUGUGAAAAAGUGCUUUUGAGAAGUGCUUUUGAAAAGUUUGGUUUAAAUUUUGAGUGUUUAGUAUUGCUGUCAAAAAAUGCUUUUGAGAAAUAAAAUGUCCAUUUUAGACAUCUUAUUAUCAAGUAACAAAUAUACAUUUAAAUAAUAUUUAAAUUAGUUAAUAUUAUUAUAUUUUAGUAAGAAUAUAAAAAAAUUAUUAUAACUUGUUGUUAAUAUUUUAAUAUAUGAAAUAUAAAUUUUAAAUAUUUUUAAGCAAUAAAUGUUAAUUAUUUAUAAAAUAUAAUUAGAAUAUAUAAACUAUAUUUUAAAUAUUUAAAUAUAACCAUUGAAAAUUUGUAACUAGUAUUUUAAAAAAUAUUUUUUUUAUUUUUAAUUAAUGAUUUUAACAUAAUUGUAAUUAAGCACCAAGAAAAAGAAAAGAAAAAUACUAUGUUAUUGGAGGUGUGAAAAAAUAAUUAAGCACCAAAAGUGCUUUUGGGAGAGGAAAAGCUAAAAUUUUUAACUUCUCCUUUUUAGCUCAUUUUUAGAAGUGCUUUUGAAAAACACUUCUGAAAAGCUAAAACUUUCAGCCAAAAGCAGCUUGUUCUUCACAGCUUUUCUUUCAAAAGUGCUUUUGGAGUCAGAAGUGCUUUUUUUAAGCAAUGAAGAACUGGCCCUAAGUCUAAUUGGAUUGAGUGUAAUUAGAGCACCCCAAUUAUACUCUCUAGUUCUUUGGAGGAGAGUGAAUUGGAAUAAUUACUUGAGUAGUUACAAACAAUUAAACUCAAAUCCAAUUAUUCUUCGACUUUCGAAGCAUGCCCAUAUAUUAUUUAAGUUUUAAAAGUUAUUUUUAUACAAAAAUAAUAGUAUUUUAAUUUUAGUAUACAUAUUAAAUAUAAUUAUAUGUGAUUGUACUGAUUUAAAAAUUUUAUACAAGUUCAUAUACACUUUCACCUACUAAAUAAUUAACUAAGUUACAUAAUAUCUAUUAUUAUUAUACUUGGUCAAAGACCAAUCGAUGAUAACAAAGAGUAUAUGUUGGAUGCUGGAGAGAGAAAACUCAACGAAUAUGAAAUGUCAGAGUAAUUACAUAAAAUUGCAUAGGAUACUUAUUUUUGUUGCUAAUUUAUUAGUAAUCAUGUUGAUGAAUACUUCUUGGACUUACGUAUUAUAUAAGAUGGUUUGAUUUUAGGUUUUGUUAUUUGUUUAGAAUUUUGCUCUAAUAUUAUUGAUAAUUUAUAAUAAUUCAUAUUUUUAGAAUUUAAAAUCAUGUAGUUAUGUAAUUAUAAUUUAUAUUACCAAACAUGACGUAAGAAAUUACAAUAUAGUUACACUCUAUCAAUCAAAUAUAUCUAGGACAUUAAAUUUCUUGUAAUUAGAAGAGGGUAUAAUUAUUAUUGUAAUAAUUACACUUUUAUCUAAUUAUUUUGUGGCAUCCAAAUACACACUUUAACAUUUUCCCUUUUCCAAUAAAAUGAAAAUAAAAUCCUUAUUUCUUGAAAAAAAAAUCUAAAAUUGGGUUUUUUGAAGAUGACAAUGAAAAUAAAAAAAAUAUUUUUUCAUCAUUUUUACUAAAAGUACUUCGAAAAAGUUGAAAAUAUUAUUUUUAACGGGUUCUAAAUAUCAAAUCUGGUAUUCUAGUUCAAAUUUAUAUAAUAAUAAAUUAUUAUUUUAUUCUUAUGUUUUUAUUAUUAUAUGAAAAUAUAUGUACCAAAAAUAUUUUGAUUAUGAAAAGGUUUAAUGGUUUAAAAUGCCCUCUAACUUUUUAGAAAAAGUAAUUCAGCCAUGCGAUUUUUUUGCACCCAAUUGAGCCCUUAAUUAGCAAAACUAGUCAAAUAGACUCUUUGACUAACAUUGACCGUUACAACUCUAACGUGGCCAUUAAAGACAUUGAUGUGAUGCUCCAAGUUUAUGAAUUUUUUUUAUAUAAUAUCUAUUCUUUGAGUUUCUGUAAUUCUUUUAAAAAAUUAUUACUCUGUUUAGCAUUUAUUAUUAUUUUUAUAUUUUAUAUAAAAUGAUUUUUGAUAUUUUUAUGUUUUUUUUUUGGUGAAUUACAAGAGGAGGGCAACUCAAACCCAAGCCAUAACUAGGACAGUGAACACUUUAAUCAUCAGACCAACACAUGAAUUAGUAUUUAGCAAUGGUUUUUAAUUAGAAACCAAACUCAAAAGAAGCAUUACCGAAACUAAUAGCUUCAUAAUGCCUGCCAUUCAAAUGAAGCCUAACAUUGAAGCACCGUUAUUGAUGUCAGACAUAUUUAAGAAAGAAAAUUUUACAGAUUUGAGUUGACAUUUAACGCAAACUAGUAGUAAAAAUAAUAAAAGAACACUAUCCAUGUAAUAUUGGCAAUUCAAUAACUUAAUUAAAAUGUUUUAAAAGUUUGUGACUAAUUUAAACUUUAAGUUGUAAUAGAAGGAGUUUGGAUGAAAUUAACCCUAUUCAGUUAUAGAUGCAAAUUCAAUGACUAACAAAAUUUUAAAGGAUGAGAUUAAUGGUAAAUAAUAGCACUGUCCAUUCAAACCUAAUUUAAGUUUUAGGAUGCAAAUACAAACUGCAUUUCAUAUUUUAAAACUGAAUUGGUUAGUUAAUAAAGUAAAAGAUUGGUUGUUAGCUCAACAAUUUGUGAUUCUGCCAUGUGGUUUGGACCUACCAAAAUAUUCCAACUCUCCAAUCACUAUCAGCUAUGGAUGUCUUUGUAUUUUUUUUUUAUUUUUCUUUACUAGGGUGGCAUAGGACAGCUAGAAUGAGGUUGAAUUUUUGUUUGGAUUUGGUAGAGGAUGCUCAAAUUAUGGUUUUAAUCCCUCUACUUUGGUUAAAUUUAAAAUUUAAUCCCUAUUUUUAGUUUGAUCUAUAUUUUUAUAAUGUUAUUAAUUAAUUUUAAAAAAUAGCACUUCUUCCAAGGCACGGAAAGAAAUCAUGUUAGCAUUAUGUUUAGAGUUGUUCAGGGGCUAAAUCGGAGGCAUGUAUUAUAUCAAUACCAUACAUAAUUAUUUAAGCGCAAUUCAACUUGAAAUAUAGACCUCUAAUUUUAUCUAAUUUACUCAUAUUUGUAAAUGGUUAAAUCAAAUUUGCUUAGACCCUCCCAUAUUAUAGAAUUGUAUGUUUUCAUAUGAUAUAACUUUAUAUAAAAUAACAUAGGUUCGUUCAAAUUCGGGCAUUGAAUAUUGGAUCUUGAGCUUGGAUCAUAUUUUAAUCGGAUUUAAUUUUUUUGUUCAAGCCCAUUUUUCAAGCCUAACAUUUUUGUUGGUAAUUCGGUUCUUGAACAGAGUUAGAAGAGAUAACAUAUUAACUAUUUGGGCUAAUUAAUAACAAUAUAAAAUUACAGAAGCCAAAUUAUAUCAAAUUAAAGUAUAUGAACAAAAUCUCAAAUUUGAGCAUAAUAUAAGGACUAAGGCUUAGUUUGGAUGGACGGUUAGUGUAACAACAACGGUAGCAGAGCGGUGAUAGCAUGAGAUAAAAAGUAAAUUAAACGCAUUAUACCGCACUCAAUCGCCCAUCUAAACUCCACCUAAAAUUCAGAAUUUGACCAUAGUGGAGCUAUAAUCUUGGGGGUUUAGUUGACUAUUUUUCAUCAAAGAAUGCCUGAAAGCUUCUUAGUACAAAGUCGUGGACUUAAAGUUAGUACAUGCUCAAAAAGGUAGCAAGCAAAGUUCCCAAUGUGAAAAUCUUUAUUAUCAUCAAAGGAGAACCUGAAAAAAUGGACAAUUUUUCUUCGAUUGAAGCAACAUUUUCUUAUAAUCAUUUAAGAUCAUAUCUCACUUUUCCAUUCACCAUUGACAUUUUUUUGUGCUUAAACAAAACCAAGCACAUGAAAGUCUUAAUUCUAAGGUUUAUCAUCAUUGGGUAAUGGUAAAAAAUUUGGUAUUUUGAACAAGCUUGAAAUUCAAGUUUUGUAGAUGGAGAAAACAAGAUUAAGAGUAUGAUCCGACUUGACCUCAUAUUUAAUAAAGAUUCUAUAAGAUUGAUUAGACUUGUAAUAAAAAAAAUUGCAAUUCAAUUCUCUUAUAAAUGAUCUAAAAAUGAAAAAGAUGAGAUUUACUUAUUUCAAAAAUAACUAAAAUUAUAAAUUAAUUUCUUUUCUUUGAGAGUCUUUUAAUGGAAAAAUCCACCCAUGAUUAGCGGCAGGCACUUUGAAUCAGAUAAAAUGCAACUCUAAAUAUGAUGAAGAAAUAAUUAAUGGUAAACUAUCAAAACAGUCACUUUUGUUUCCCUUAUAUUACAUUUUAGUCAUUUAUAAUUGAAAUAUUAUGUUUUAGUCACUGAGCAGUUAAUUGUUGUUAACGGAUCAAAUCAUCAUUUCAAACAAAAACUUUAGGUUAAAUUAUACAAUUGGUCCUCAUAUUUUUUCGUUUUGAGCAAUUUUUUUCUUUUAUGUUAUUUUAACUUUCUUUUUCUUUUUCCAAUUCUUUUUUGCUUCUCCCUCUAUUUACCUCCUCUUCCAUCUCUUUUAAUGUAAAAGAAAAAAAAAAUUUGCUCAAAAAAAAAUAUAGAGACUAAUUGUAUAAUUUAACCUAAAAUUUUUGUUUGAAAUGAUGAUUUAAUAUGCCACAUCAGUUUACCGUUACACCGUAAACGGUAAUUAACGCUUAGUGAUUAAAAUAUUAUAACACGAUAACGUAAAUGACUAAAAUAUAACCUGAGAGACAUAAAAGUGACUAUUUUAAUAGUUUAUCCAAUAAUUAAAGCUGAAGACAUUUUUUAAUUGGGUGAUGUAAACAUCAAUCGAGCUGAAACUGAUGCAACAAACAAAAGAAUAUUGAAAUGAAGCAGGUUUUGAAAGGGCAUGUGAACAUCAAAUCUAGUUACCUAAAGCUUGGGACUUGAUGAAUUAGGUAGCCUGCCAACUGACUUCAGAUUAAUAUACAUAGUACCACGAUAAUUUUUUAUUUUAUUUUAAGUUUUUUAAUAUUUGAUAAUUACAUUAAAUUUUAAUUAAAUUUAAAAAUUAUAUUAAAAAUAUAUUAAUUUUUAACAAAGGAUAAAACUCUUAAAUAUUAUUUUUUUCGUCAAUAAUAAAAUUUUAAUAUGAAAUUGUAUACAUAAAUUUUAAUUUUGUGUAAUUUUAUACAUAAAAUUUUGAUUUGAUUAAAUUUUGUAAAUUAUUAACGCAAAUAUUGAUAUAACAUAAUUUUAUGAUUAUAUAUUACAUAUAAAAAUAAUUAUAUUUAUUCAAUAUAAAGUAAAUUGAUGUAUUUGUUUAUUUAAAUCAAAAUAAAAAUUUUAAGCAUACAUUUAAACUACAAUUAGAGUUUCACAUAUAUAAUUGUACAAAAUUAAAAUUCAUAUAUACAAUUACACGUUAAAUUAAAUUUCAUGCAUAAUUUUAAUAUUUCUCUAAAAUUUUAUAAUAAUAAAGUUAAUGAUUAUGAAUAUGCAAAACCUGCGGUUCCAGUGCCAUAGACUAAUUUGUUCCGUAUAAAAACCUUUGUAUUUGUUUGUAACGGGCUGACGUCAUGGCAUUGACGGAAGAAGUCGUUUAUUCCCAACCCCUCCGAUUCAAUCCUUUAUGUAUUUGUUAAGAGAUAAUAUAAAUAAAUCUAUCUGAAUUUGGUAAUUUAUAUUUAUAUAAUAUUUUAAUUUUUUUAAAUUUAACCGAUAUUUAAAUUUGACAUUCGUAAGCCAACUUGAUUCUUUUUUUAGAUUAUUAAUUAACACUGUUAAAAUAUUUUAAUGUAGCGUUGAUAACCAAUAGCAUGGUGAGAUUUUGACAUGUGACAAAAAAUAAAAUAAUGGCAUGUUUAGGUUUAUUUAUUGAUUGCUUCUAUUUUGCUUUGUAUGCAAAAACAUUAAGGACUAUAUAUAAAGGAUAUUAAUGUAAUUAAUAAAUAUUAUUAUUAAAUCAAUUUGUUCAAAAAAAUACAAGUAUACAAAACGAAUAUAAUACACUUAGGGCAUCAGAUCCAAAACUCUAAAUGUCAAACGUAUUCAUUUAAGGAAACAUCCUUGAAAUUCUCAUCCAUGCUCUCUCACCUUGAUUCGAUGCUAGUAGUCAUGCGAUUCUUGCAAGCUGAGGAACAUAAGUAUGACAUAGAGCCUAUUGAUGCAUCUUCUUCUAUUGCUACCAUUGACGAUGAUGAUAUGUGUCAACAAAAAGUUCUGUCGACGUCGUUUGUGAAGAAAUUCUAUGUGAUCCUAUGCCUAUUGUUGAGAUUUCUCCUUUAGUGUUAAAGAAAAUUGUGAUGAUGAACAAUGUUCAAAUUUUUUGUGAGAGGUCAAAGGAAAGUAAGAUUGAUUCAUGUAAAAAAAUUGAGAGAAAAAAUACCUUGAGCAAUAAAAGUCAAUUUGAUGGUCCAACUUUAGUGAGUGAAAAUUUAUAUACAGUAAAAUUCAGGAGUUCAAUUCAAAUUGAAAAACAGAAGAUAGAAAGAACCUAUACAAAGGACAGGAAUGAUUAUGUUUUCACUAACCCUAACUUUAAUUUGUCUAGUGAACUUGUUUUAUUUUUUAGGAAUUUGUUGAUCCUCUAAGAGGAGCUCAAUAAAACUAUUCCACUUAUGAUAAAAAUUCUUUCUUGUUCAACCAAAGACAAGAUUCAAGGAUGAAACUUUUCGAGGAAAGGGGGUUGAUACAUGCACGGAUCGUGUGAACUUUAUUAAAUUCAAUUCACCGAAGCUGGCCAUUUUUAAGUUUGGAAAAAUUGGUAGACUUGCAACGACUUUUUGGAUGAGAUCCAGACAUUUCUAGGUUGAGAUAUCUUCAUAGAGUUCAACGAGCUAUUUUUUAGCUUCAAAACGCACUUUGAAUUAUUCAAUUUUGAGUCCAAGAGCUCAAGUUAUGACCAUUUUAGUGAAGAUUGGGCAAGCAGAAUUUUUAGACAAUAUUAUUAUGGAAAAUUACGAGUUUCGGGCUUUAAUUCGAGUUUAAGUCAUAUUUGGUUCGAUUUUUAGGCUUUAUUAUUAUAUAUGAGCCCAAUAUUGUAUCUAUUAGGCUUUAUAUUUUUAUUAUUUAGUUAUUCCGAAUUUUUAUGUUUCUUAGUCAACAAGAAAAUUUAGUUCUACUAGACUAUAUAAAGGCUCUUCAUUAUUCAUUAAACAACACCUUGAUUAAUAAAUUUCAACUCUUUAAGUUAUUUCUCUUUGUGAGGUUUCUUUAUUUAUUUAUUUUAUAAGUAUAUUUUCUUAUUGGUUUUCACUUUGAAGUCGUAGGAGAACUCUUCAUCGUCCAAUUUACUAGGGCUCGGCUUUAAGGGGUGUAACACUCCUAACCCGUAUCUAUCGUCAGAAUAGAGUUAUAGAGCAUUACCAGAGUUUACGAAUUAAUUUACAGACAUUUCAUUUCAUUAAGCGUUCAUAUUUAUAACCAAUCAAAAUCAAAACAUUAAUGAGCUAACGUUGGCCAAUUUAACUUAUACAUGUCAUUAUAACCAGAAUCAAAUCAUCCAAAAUUACCGAUAGAACCAAUGGAUAGUGUGAUAUAUCUCCGACAAGCUUCCAACCCAAUCGAGCUUCCGAUAAUCAUUUCAAUGCAUCUAAUAAUUAUACAUAUUACCAAUAAUAAUUCAAUUCCAAUAAUAAAACACAUAUUUAUAUAAUAUUCAUCACCAAAUAACAUUCACUUUAAUUAAAAUUAUACAGAAUAUAGUUCAUACGAACUUACCAGGCUAAAUUGCAGAAAUACCAAAAUUCAGAGACAUUUUGGUAAUUUUCUAUUUUCCUCGAAUUUCCACUGUAACACCCCUUACCCGUAUCCAACACCGGAAUAGGGUACGAGGCAUUACCAAAACACAUACACUUGUAAACGUAUUUAACCGAGUUAUAAAAUUUCAUCUAAAUUAAAACUUUCAAAAUAAUUAACAUGCUUCUAUAACUUUUCACAAUAUAUCCUCAAAAUAUUAUAAUCAUAAUAAUUAGGGCCUACGAGACCCGAUACAUACUCAUGCAAUUCAAUGUUUCAUUUCCAUUUCAUUCAAUUCGCAACUUCUCAUGCUCACAAUUUAAAUCAAUUCACUAGAAAUUUUCAUUUAUUUCACGUACAAUUCAAUGACAUUAAGUUCAACAUUAAUACGUAUUUACCAUUUAACUCAACGUUUAUCGAUUAUACCAUUCAAUAACACAUUUAUGAAAUUCUCAAUUUUGCAAUGAAAAUAUCACUUUAGCUUAAAUAACAACAUCAUCCUGGUAUAAAUACACCACCACUUAUCCAUUUACUUUAAUCCAUUUGAGCCUAUUUGUCACUUACCAUCCUUAAUCAAAUUAGGGAACGGUUACGGAAAAUUGAGUACUUCACUUUGACUUUGCCAUAGUAUAACUAUGGUCUUACGUAUGAUCACUUAUCACUUGUCCCUGAUCAGAUAAGUGUAGCUAAGGCUACCACUUAUUACUUUGUCACUUGAUCAGAUAAGUGUAGCUAAAGCUACCACUUAUCACUUUGUCACUUGAUCAGAUAAGUGUAGCACUUAUCACUUUUUCACUUGAUCAGAUAAGUGUAGCUAAAGCUACCAUUUAUCACUUUGUCUCUUGAUCAGAUAAGUGCAGUACUUAUCACUUUGUCACUUGAUCAGAUAAGUGUAGCUAAAGCUACCACUUAUCACUUUAUCUCUUGAUCAGAAGUACUCAAAUCCGGCGUUCCGCUUAAUUUGAUCAUUUGUUCGAUUUUCGCAUUUUUAUUUUACUCUCAUUUCAACACUAAAUACAUUUCAUCAUACAUUAUAUAAUUCAUGAAAUUAACAUUUAACCAUUAAAUUUCAGCAAUAUGAACUUACUAUUUCAUUAACUUUCCACACUUGUUUCUAUGCACAUCACACAAGAUAUAAGCAUAUCAUUCAACCAUAGUUGCAAGCUAGUGUAUUUAAACAUAACUCUUUUUGGAACUAACCACACGAUAAACCAUUUCAAUGCAUAACUUAUAAAUUUAACGUGGCAUAAUCUAGCCACUACUUGGCCGAAGCCUAAGCAUAUACACCAAAUAUGUUAGCCAAAUACACAUAUAGCAUAAGCAUUAUAAGCAUGGAUGAGCACAACAUUUAUUCAUGUAUCAGGCUUACCAACAUGUGUUAAUUCAUAAACCAUUCAUGACAUUAUUUCAUGCCAAAUCAGAUACCGAAUAUACCAUACACAUACUAUGAAACUUUAUUUUCACACAUGAGCUUAAACCACGACCAAUAAUGCACAAAUAUAAGCAUCAUUUCUAUUUCAUCGUUUAUCAAUUAUAAUCAAGCAUAUGACCAAUUAUACACAAAUCAUUCAUAUAUUUCUCAAUUUUCCUCCUCCUCCUCUCCAUUCCACAUCCUUAAUGUGUAUAACACACUUAAACAACAUUAGCUAUAAUUUCACUAUUCACUCACAUGUAUAUUCAAAGCUGUUUAUCCGAGUCAGAGUCACUAAAUUAUUUUUAUCUGGAGCUACAGAGCUCCAAAUUAAGAUCUGUUAAUUUUCCCUGAAACUAGACUCACAUACCUUCUUACCACAAAAUUUUCAUGAUUUUUGGUUUAGCCAAAUAGUACAGUUUAUUCUUUAAAGUUUCCCCUGUUUCGCUGUCUGACAGUUCCGACCACUCUUCACUAAAAAUGAAUUAUCUAAUUGUACAGAAUUUUGAUGAUGUUUAUGUUUAUUUCCUUUGAAAAUAGACUCAUUAAGGAUUCUAAGCAUAUAAAUUAUAACUCAUAAUUAUUUUUCCUCAAUUUUUGAUGAUUUUCCAAAGUCAGAACAGGGGAACCCCAAAUCAUCCUGACAUUGUCUCACAAAAUUUAUUAUAUCUCAUGAUUUACAAUUCCAUUGCUUACACCGUUUCUUCUAUGAGAAACUAGACUCAAUAAGAUUUAAUUUCAUAUUUUAUUCACCUCUAAUUCAAUUCCCACAUUUUUUGGUGAUUUUUCAAAGUUAUACUACUGCUGCUGUCCAAAACUGCUUUAGUGCAAAAUGUUGAUUUCCAUUUUGCCCCAAAUUUCACAGUUUAUACAAUUCGGUCCUUUCUCAAUUAACCCCUCAAUUAAUCUAAUUUUAUCAAUUAAUACUUUACCUAAACAUUAUAAGUUGUUUCACAACUAUUGAAAUUCAGAAUUUUCACAUAUAACUCUAUCUUCAAACUCUUUUACUAUUAGGUCCCAAACAUUCACUUUCUAUUCAAUUCUUUCAAUAAAAUCAGCAUAUGAACAAUUUAAAGCUCUAAUUCCAUGCUAAAUCAUCAUAUACUUCCAGCACAUAUUCAUGGCAACUUUCAACUUCUUUCAUAGAAUCAAAAACUAAUGAAUUCAACAAGUGGGCCUAGUUGUAAAAGUCACAAAAACAUAAAAUUUUCAAGAAAUAAUCAAGAAUUGAACUUACCUGCAGUAAAAAUAGGAAGAAUCAGCUUAAGGAAGCCCUUCUAUGGUGUUUUUGCUGAUGAGGACGCAGAAAAAUAAAGAGAAAUCUAGAUAAUUCCACUUUGGUCCUAACUUUAUUAAGUAAAUUUUGCAAUAUUCCAAUUUUGCCCUUAAUUCUCCUUACUUUGUUGCUGAUUUCAUGCCUUUGCCGUCCAGCCCAAAUAGACCUUGGUCUAUUUGCCUUUUAAGUCCUCUUCCUUUUAUCAUUUAAGCUAUUUAAUCAUUUCCCAUAAUUUUUCAUUUGUUACAAUUUAGUCAUUUUUGUUCAAUUAAUUAUUGGAACUUUAAAAUUUCUUAACGAAGCUUUAAUACUAACUUUUUAACACUCCAUAAAUAUUUAUAAAAAUAUUGAUGGCUCGAUUUAAAAUCUCCGAGGUCUCGAUACCCUGUUUUUUUAUUCUAAUUAUUUUAAUAUUUAUUUCUAGUGCACUAUUCACUAUUUCAAAAAUUUUCCUAACUUCACAUUUAACUUAUACUCACUAAAUUAAUAAUAUUUUCUACUCAUUUGUCGAAUUUAGUGAUCUCGAAUUACCGUUCCAAUACCUCCGAAAAUUCAGGCCAUUAUAUUUUUUUUUCCCUGUCGGAUUUGUCGUCUAAAAACCACUGUUCCAUCUAGACCCAAAAUCGGGCUGUGACAUCCACCCAAUCUUGAUCUAAAUUAAUAUUUCAUUCAAUUUAUUAAUUUAAAUAAUAAACCAAUUCAUUUCAUGCAAUUAGGUUACUUUUUGACCUUUUUACAAAAUUACCCUUAAAAUUUUAUUUUUAUUCAAUUUAGUCCCUGAACCUAAAACAUGCAAAUUAGCCAUUUUUAAUGAAAAAUCGUGCUAGUUGAAUAAUCAUAUAUUUUCCUCCUCCUCCUCUCCAUUCCACAUCCUUAAUGUAUAUAACAUGCUUAUAUGUAACAUUAUCUAUAAUUUCACCAUUUAUUUAUAUGUUCAUUCAAAGCUAUCCACUUGAGUCACAGUUACUAAAUUAUUUAUAUAUUGAGCUACAGAACUUAGAUUUAAGAUAUGCUAAAUUUAUAUGAAACUAGACUCACAUAUCUUCUUACCAUAAAAUUUUCAGAAUUUAUGGUUUAGCCAAUAAGUACAGUUAUUCUUUAAAUUCAUCCCCAUUCUGUUGUCUGACAGUUUCUACCCUUCUUCCCUAAAAAAUAAUUAUCUCCUUGUACGGGAUUCGGAUGAUGUUCUUGUUUAUUUAUAUUGAAAAUAGAUUCAUUAAAAAUUUUAAACAUAUAAGUUAUAACCCACAAUUAUUUUUAUACAAUUUUUAAUGAUUUUCCAAAGUCAGAACAGGGGAACCUGAAUUCAUUCUGACCUUGUCUCACAAAAUUUAUUAUAUAUCAUGAUUUACAAUUUCAUUACUUACAAAGUUUUUUCUAUGAGAAACUAGUCUCAGUAAGAUUUAAUGCCAUAUUUUUUCAUCCUCUAAUUCGAUUUACACGAUUUAUGGUGAUUUUUCAAAGUUAACCUACUGCUACUGUCCGAAACUGUUUUAGUGCAAGAUGUUGAUUACUAAGUUUAUAACUCCCUUAUUCCCUUUCUCUAUAAUAUUUCCCAUCACUUUCACUUAUUUCCCUUCACUAAUAUAUCAAGAACAUAAUACCUUAAAUAAGAAAACUCUACUAUAACAUAAUUUCUAUACUUUUUCAAUAAUAUCAAACUUCAAAAUAUAUUGAAAUCUUGAUGUUCUUACCUUGUCCUAUUAGUUUCAGACUUUAACUUGAUUUUCUCUCUCCUCCAGCUUCUAUUUCUUGAAUCUAACUUGAUAAUCUAACUCCCCGUAGUCUCCUUGUUAUCUUUCUCUCUUGAUGAAUAUGAAAAUUCUUUUGAUUUCUGAGUGAAAAUGGUGAAUAUUUGGUGAAAGGACCAAAUUGUAAAGAAAAGAAAUAUUUCUUUCUUUCUUUCUUCUUCUUCUCACGUUGGUGCAUGAGAAGGAUGAUGAUAAUUCUUCAUCUUUCUCUCCUUAUAUAUUAAAUACAAUAAUAAUAAAAUAAUAAAAUAUCUCAUUAAAAUAUUAAUAAACUAAUAUUUAAUUAAUUAAUUAAUCUAAAAUAUCACCAAUAUCAUCAUUUCCUUCUAGAUUUCUCUCUCUUCUAAUUGACCAUUUUGCCCUUUAUAAUAUUUAAAAAUUCCAUCCUCGAUUCAUCACUUAAUUUGGUAAAAUUAUAAUUUAGUCCCUCAAAAUUCUUUACCUUUUCAAUUUGGUCCUAAUUCAUCCCUUUUCCUUAGUUUCUAGAUUAUUCCACCCUUAAAAUAUUUACACUAUUGGUCCUUCAAAAUUUUUAUAUUUACACUUUACCUCCUCAAAUUUUAAGUAUUUACUCUUGGUCAAGAAAAUUUUUCUCACUUUUGCGAUUAAUCCUUUCUUGAAUUAAUAUAUCAUAAUAUACUUCCCAAUGUUGCCAUAACUCAAAAUUUCCCUUUUUGUCACUUUAUUUCCUUAUUUUACUAUAUCAAGGAUACCUACUUUCUUACUGUAGUAAUUUUUGGGAUAUUAUAGUAGUAAUUUUCGGGGUAUUACAGGGGGUUUGGAUAGAGCCAUUGAUUGAGAUUGUCAAGGAAUCUCCCUUGAAGGGUUCAAUCAGGCAUUUAUCCUUUGAUCCAUAUCCAACGGUUCAUUCGGGCCUUUUAAUUUUCAUUCCUUGAAGGGUUCAAUCGGACAUUUUAAUUUCCGUUUUUUUAUCUAUUUAUUGUUUUGAAUCUUUAUUCUUGUUCUUGAAUUUAUUCUUUUAGUUGUUUGUGUUUUCUUUAUUUUCUAAAUCUGUUUGGUUUCUUCUUUUCAAGUCAGAUUCGAAUAUUUUUCGAGUUGAACAACUUGAAUACGAUAUUGGUUCGCUAUUCCCUAUCAAUAAGCUUCUUAACUUGUUUUGGUUUUGUUCAAAAAAUUACCAAAGGGAGAGAUUGUUGAGGCAAGUGUUUUGAAGUGGUUGUUGAAGUGCCAACGGUAGUGGCCACUUCGACUAACACUGUGAUAGAUUCUGUUACUUUUUAUAUUUGAAGUUGACAAUUUUUUAAACAAAAUCUUUGAGCUUUGAAUGAUGUUGGUAUUGUGGAUGUAUGCAAGCCCAUCUAUGAAGAUCCAUCUAUUUGAAGCAACUUAUCUUGAAUAUUGGAUUAGAUUGGAUAAUGCAAUUGGAUCCACUUUACUUCGGUCCUUAUUUUUAUAUUGUAUCUUGCUAUUUAAGUUGUUGUUUUAUAGGAGAUUGGUUUGUAAUUGAUCUUUAAUAUGUUAGCAAAUAUCAAAACUCUUAUAUAUUUGAGAGAUUUGUAUAGAUUUUGUACUGAGUAUUAAGAGUACUUAUUUGUUCAUAGUGGAACAUAUUUUGAGAGUGUGUUUUGGAGCACAAACAAGUUGUGUUUAUCGCCUAAGUUCUCAAGAGGAGGACUUAAAGGAGAGUGAUUUAAAUCUUUAGAUACAAAAGUAAGGUUGUUAUAUCGAGGUGUGAUCUGAUUUGAAUCAAUUGUUCUGCAAUUAAAGAUAGUGAAUUUAUUCACUAAGCUAGACUUUAUAAACAUUAGGAAACCGAAUUGUGUAAAAAAUUCGUUGUGUUCUUGUUUUUUCAGUUCUUAUCACAGUGCCACCUUUAGUGACCACUACAUCCAUCACUUUCAUUCAAGUGCUCUACUUUUUAGCAAUUAGCAACUAUCCAUUUCAAUAGAACUCGUUAAAGGAAGUUGAUAAUCUUAAACUCAUUAGAAAAGAGAAUGAAUAUUAAGUUUCGUUUGGUUUUUGAAAAAUAUUUUUUAUUUCCAUUUUAACAAAAUAGGUUCUAUUUUCCAUUUUUUAAAAGUCAAAAAACACAUUUAGUAAUAAAAAUAAAAAUUAUUUGAAAUAAUGAAUAUAUGAAAACAUGUUUAAUACACUAUUUUAUAUUUUAAUAGAAACAUGAUAAAUAAAAUAGAAAAUUACUACAUUUAUUUAGAUAUGGACUCAAAUAAGGGUAAAAGAUGUUGAUAUUUAAAAAUUGUUGAAAAAUAUUUUUGCCUUAAUCUUAACAACUAUUGUUUUCAACUUUUUAAUUUUACAAAAUAUUUUUUAGUGAAAGCAAUGAAAAUAAAUUUAUAUUGUUUUAUAAUGUUCACAUAUUUUCAUUAUUAUUUUCUAAAAAAUAUUUUAAAAAAAGUUCAAUCAAACUAAUUUUUCAUUUUUCAAGAAAAUAAUAAAAAAAUCUCUAUUUUCUAAAAUUAAAAAAAAUUCCAACUUAUUACUCUCUAUUAACCUCUUUGAAAGAGAGAUGACAUAAUAUAACUUUUUUUUAAAUAAAUUGAUAAUAUAAUUAUAUAAAAAUAAUAUAUGAUAAUGAUAUCUAAUGAAGAUUAUUAUCCUCUUUUUAUUCCAUCUGUAGAAAAGAUAUUUGACAUAAAAUCUUUAGGAUAUUUUAAAUUUUAUCAUAACUGGAUAUGAUAAAGGAUUAUUGCAAGUUGCAUUAACAUUGAAAUUAAAAAAAAAAGAGAUAUUUUUUUUUAUUAAUAAGUGUUGGAGGCAAUGGUAAGGUAUAUUGUAUUCUCAAGAGGAGACAUAGGUUCAAACUCUGGAGAUGACAUUGUUGAGAGGAGUAACCACGAAUCCCGAACAUUAAUCGUAAAACAGACUUGAAGAAUACCAAAAACAAAGAAGAUAUUUUUUAAAAAUAAAUUGAUAAUUAUACAACAAUAAUAUAUGAUAAUGAUAUCUAAUAAUGAUUAUUAUCCUCUUUUUUCCAUUUGUAGAAAGGAUAUUUGACAUCAAAUCUUUAGGAUAUCUCAAAUUUUAUCGUCACUACCAAAUAGGAUAAAUGAUUAUUAUAAGUUGCAUUAGCAUUGAAAUUAAAAGAAAGAUAAUUUUUUAAAAUAAAUUGAUAAUUAUAAAAUAAUAUUAUAUGAUAAUGAUAUCUACAAAUAAUUAUUAUCCUCUUUUUCCAUUAUAUAAAAUUUCAAAAUAUCACGCUAAUAAAUAUAAUAAAAAAUUAAUAAAAUUUACAAUUAAAUCUGAAUUUCCAAAAGGUGAAAAAUAGAAAAAUGGUGCCUUGCCAUUUAACUUGGCUUUGAAUGCAAGGUAAGCUGGUGCUUGCAGUAUAAUGAAAGUAGGUGAAGUACAGCUUGGUUAACCCAAAUCCAUGAAAGCAUAAGCCCAAUAGAGGCCCAGCAAGAAUACAUCAUCUUGAUUCCAAUUCAAUUAAACACAAGAGAAAAUUACAAAAAACAAAAUAUCGGUUUCCGUUUCAGUUUGAAGUUAAUCCACAGCUUUUUUGUUCACAAUUUUCCAUGCUCCGUUGCACGCGCCCCACGCGCUGCUCCAUAUCCCUCCCAUCUUCGGCUUCUUCGUGCCCCAAAUAGCUCCGCCCUGUUCGAGUUGACUCACCCGCUUGAGCCCAUCGAAAUUAUCGAUAACCCUACCUCACUCAAGCUCCUUUUUUUGAUAAUCCUGCUUCUAAGAAAAAACGAAUUAUAUUACACACGAUGAUGGGCUCUGAGAACCCUGGCUUCGAAGAAUCUCACCUCUUCGCUUCCCGUGAAGAAAUGGAAAACCUCGUUCUCGACGACCCGCUCACCACCACCACCACCACCGCCACCAACAACAACAACUCCUACUCUAGUUUCCGGAGCGCCAAGUCAUCGAUCUCCGACGCCGCCACGCGCCACCCGCUUUCCCCGCCGGUACUCUCCACUCCGGCCGAAUCCGAUCCAUUGCUCUCCCCUCCCGUAUUUCGAAACCCUAAUGCAUCUGAUAACAACUCCUACAUCGAGCCCCCUUCUUACGCUGACGUCAUCUUCAGCCCUUUCGAUGACAACUCCGCCAACGAGAUCAACCGCGUCGAUUCCACUUCUCACGAUCUGGAUUCAUCUUUGACGCUCUCCAGAUCCUCGUCGUCCACCUCUGAUUACAUCAAGAUCACGGUUUCCAACCCUAAGAAGGAGCAAGAGACCACCAAUUCACUUGUGCCCGGAGGUAACACUUACUACACUUACCUAAUUACCACGAGAACCAAUAUUGCGGAUUUUGGGUCAUCCGAAUUUAGUGUCAGGAGAAGGUUUAGGGAUGUAGUCACCUUGUCGGAUCGGUUAGCGGAAUCUUACCGUGGGUAUUUUAUUCCGCCAAGGCCGGACAAAAAUGUGGUUGAAUCUCAGGUGAUGCAGAAGCAAGAAUUUGUGGAGCAAAGAAGGGUUGCAUUGGAGAAAUAUUUGAGGAGGCUGGCGGAGCAUCCUGUCAUUAGACAAAGUGAUGAAUUGAAGGUGUUUUUGCAGGUGGAAGGGAGACUUCCAUUGUCGAUGAGCACUGAUGUCGCUUCUCGGAUGCUUGAUGGAGCCGUGAAAUUGCCCAAGCAGUUAUUUGGGGAAAGUACUGCAGUGGUGGCGCCACACGAGGUGGUGCAGCCCGCGAAAGGUGGGAGGGAUUUGUUGCGUUUGUUUAAGGAAUUGAGACAGUCUGUUGCAAACGAUUGGGGUGGUUCUAAACCACCUGUAGUGGAGGAGGAUAAGGUUUUUUUGGAGAAGAAAGAGUGGAUUCAUGAUCUUGAGCAGCAAAUAAGCAAUGCUUCUCAGCAGGUAAUGUUAUUGUUCUUUUGGGAUUUUGAAAUGUACGUUUGAAUCUUGUGGGACGAAUUUUUGAUGAUGGUUUUUUCGUGGAUCUUGUUAAAUUUUCUUUUAGGCUGAGUCUCUUGUUAAAGCACAGCAAGAUAUGGGAGAGACAAUGGGAGAACUAGGAUUGGCGUUUAUUAAGCUGACUAAGUUUGAGAAUGAGGAGGCUAUGUACAAUUCUCAGAGAGUACGGGCUGCUGACAUGAAAUGUUUGGCAACUGCCGCAGUCAAAGCUAGCAGAUUUUAUCGAGAAUUGAAUGCACAGACUGUCAAGCAUUUGGUGAUGUGCUAAAAACUAUUCCUCAUUUUAUGCUUUGAACUUAAAACAUGGGAUUGAGAUAUCUGCAAGUAUUCAUUUUGUGGAAUAAUUUAUUUUGCACAAGAAAUUGAGUUUGCAUUAUGCUAAAUCUCUAGUAAUCAGUAAGUUUGGCAUUUGUCAACUUUAAAAAGCUAUAUUGAAAGGAAGGCUUGUUGGUUGCCUGAGAAGAUAAUUACUGUUGUUACUUUUAAUUUCAAUAUCCGUUGAAAUUGAACUGAGUUUCAGUCAUUUAUAUAUACUUUUUUUUUGUUUUUUUUUUUUACAUUUCAGGAUACACUUCACGAAUAUCUUGGGCUUAUGUUAGCUGUGCAUGGUGCAUUUUCGGAUCGAUCAAGUGCUUUAUUGACAGUUCAAACUCUCCUAUCAGAACUAUCUACACUUCAUGCAAGAGCCGAAAAACUUGAAGCUGCAUCAUCGAAAAUAUUUGGUGGCGACAAAUCUAGGAUUCACAAGAUAGAGGAACUGAAAGAAACUAUAAGGGUUACUGAAGACGCAAAAAAUGUUGCCAUAAGAGAAUAUGAGAGGAUCAAGGUAAAAAUUUUUAUAAUAUUCUUUUAAUCUUGAUCUGAGGAUAACUUUUUUCCCUUUGUUGUUGAUGUGUUAAUUAUUUUCUGGGGUCAUGCUAUGAUCAUUAAUAUAUCCUUAAUAUAUUGCAUGUUUGAAUUACAUAAAUGAUUGGCUCAAUGCUAGAUAUCCAUGAAGUUGCCUGUGGUAAAGAUGGUUCAUUCCUAAUUUGUUGAGUUUUGCCUAUAUGAACAGUCUUAUAACCAGAUAGAACGAGGAAUAUCUAUUCUAGCCUUUAGCUAUCAUUAGACCGUAGCUCUUGUUUGUUCAUAUCAUAUGGGGUUUUCCAUUGUUUGAACUAUUUUGGUAAGUUGACUCAUUGAUAUUUCCUUCUGGUUGUACUAGUAUGAUGCUAUGGCAAUAAGCAUGUCUACUUUUUAAAUGAACUUAGCAAAGUUAUCAUCCUUGCACUCUUUAGGAGCCAAAUGGGGGAUGAUAUUUAAUAUCUAGAUAAAUAAGAGAUAUAUAUAAGUAUUUAUAUAAUUAUAAUGUUAAUAUUAGUAAUAUUACAGCUCUUAGGUUGUUGCCUUUAUUAAAUCUUAAGUGAAGCUACUAAAGCAGGAUGUGAAAGAGCAACUGAAGAUGUGAUAGAAAAUGUUGUCAAGGGCGCAAUGCAUACUCUAGGCAGUAGAAAAGCGCUCAUCCGAGUGUAGUAAAGUGCAGUAUGUAUAUGUUUGUGAUUUUCUAUAUAUAAAAUAAGCUUGAUAUGUAUAAUUAAUCUAAACAGUGAUCUGAUUUAUCCACAAAACAUGCAGUUCUUUUGUUGUUGGUCAAUGAGGCCGGAUUUCUAGUCUAGGUACACCAGGUUUGCACCUGGUCAUAUGUACCUUGCCCCAAAGGGUUUGAGGCCUUGUUGUCUAGCACUAAGGUGCAAGGUGCAUGCAUGCCUAGGUGCACACCUUGAUAACACUGGUGAUAGGAUAACAUAAGGGGAUAAUGGUAUAUCUAGCUAUGCAUCAUCCCUCACUUCCAGUUUUCUUUCCCUUUCCUUCAUGUGGUAAAUUGAAAGAAAAGAGGGGUGCACCAAUGAGCCUAAUUCCUGUGCUUUACGAAGAUUCUCAUGUUGAUCUCUGUUAUAUCACUCAAAUGUACAAUAUUGGGUCCUUCUGUUGUGGAUUAUUUUGGUACUUAUAUGGUUUAUGUUCGCAUUUGCUAGUACAUGGUCUGAAUUUCCAUGGUUACCUUCAUUUUCUAAGUUUGUUUCAUGAUGAUGUAAUUGCAGGAAAAUAACAAGUGUGAACUUGAAAGGUUUGACAAGGAAAGACGCGUUGACUUAUUGAACAUGUUGAAGGGGUUUGUUGUAAAUCAGGUAAUUUUGGUUUCUCGGUUUCCUGUCCAUGUUGAUGAUCUUAUUGUUUGAAAGAAACUGUAAUGGACUUUGUUCGAGGAUACCAUGUCAAAGUUCAUCCAUUGAACUUAUUUAAUUGAAAUUGCCGUAUUUUGUACCUAAGUUUUAUUUGGUAAAACUUGUGUCAUCCAUGUUGAAAGCUUCAUCACUCAUUCAAGUUGGAGCAUUGUUAAUCCCAUGUAGUUGAUUUGCUUUUAGAUAUCUCUUAAUGGUUUGUGUUUGAUUUCAUAGUGAAACCGCAACGUGAACCAUUUUAGUUGAAUGGCAGCUGACAUGUAAUAGUGAAAAUGUAAACAGGUGGGAUAUGCCGAGAAAAUUUCAGAUGUGUGGGCAAAGGUGGCAGAGGAGACAAGUGGAUAUGCAAAAGAUAGCUGUUAAAUGUUUGGAUGUAUAUUCACUUCCUUGUUUUUUUGGUCCUUUAUACUUUUUAAUGAUUAUUGUCCUUGUUAGGUGACAGUUUUAAUAAGAAUAAUAAAAAUGAAGAAAACGGAGGAAGUACUUGGGUUAGUUUAUUAUAUUGUUAUUUUGACUGUUUUAGAUUAGAGUAUACCUUUUUUAGUGUAUGUGUGAGAAAGGCUUUGUUGAACGAGUGCCAAACCUGCACUUGAUUUGAUGUUAUAAAGUGUUUGAUCCAUAUUGCCUGUCCAAGUAAUCUUUAAAUAUAAAUAUAUAUAUAUAUAUAUAAUUGCCUGCGCUGCAGGUGAAAACAAUGGAAGGAUCACCUUGUUUGUUUCUAUCUGUGUUUUAAUGUAAGGUAUGAUGCAAGCUACUAGUAUAAUGCAUCUUUCCUAAAAUAAAAUCCAACUAUCAAGUGUAAGACAAUAUAUGCGUAUCUUCUAAUUACCUAGAUCCGUCUGGAAAAGAACAGGUAGCUUUAUAUACAUAAUGACAAAUUUUAUAAACUGUAUAGAAUAUUGAAGGGUUAAUUAAUUAUGUUUAUCGGUCAAAGUCUACUGUUAAAUCUCAUAAAAUAUCAUUAUAUGAUUUAAAUUAUAUCGAAAAUUAAGUUUAACAAUGAUUAAAUUCAAAGAUUAAUUACUGAAGAUAAGUAUAAAUAGAAAAAGGUGUAUUAACCUUGGGGCAGGAGGAGGAGAAGAGUGGCACUGAUUUGCCCAAAUCUCAACUAAACUCCAAAACACAAGCACAUCUUCACUUGUCACACAUCACACAUAUAUUGUAGGUUUACUUGAGGUUAAACCAAAUGAAACGAAAUUUGCAGGUGUCCAUAACUACCAAUCUCCUUUUUUCACUAUUUUUUUUUAUUUCCCAUUCAACCUUAGCUUUUUCAUAUCUGCUUUGCUUUUUCUCUCAAACCGCGUUUCCCCAGGUCUGGCCGUUUCCUUCAUAUAUCACUUUCACUCUCCCUUCCAUUUAUUCCCUCUCUAACCCUAAAACCAAAUACCCCGUAGUCGCUGCUUCUUCUUCUUUUGGUGGGUUCUAAGGCAGUAGAAGCUGAGUUUGAGAUAAGAAGAGAAUCAAGCGAUAGUUCUAUUUUACUUGCUGUUUUUUUUAGCUAUGGCUGAGAACGGUGAAGAGAAGCUGCUUGCGGUGGCCAGGCAUAUAGCCAAGACGCUGGGUCAAAACGACACCAUGGCCGACGAUAUUUUGCAGAUCUUUUCCAACUUCGACGGGAGGUUUUCUCGCGAGAAGUUGUCCGAGAAAAUGGUUGACGACAACAACCCUCGUGGCUGUGCCGCCCUCGAGCGAGCCGUUAAUUCCUUGGACCGUCAGAUCUCCCAGUACGUGGCGCUUGAUCAUCCCAUCUGGGCUCACACCGCUGAUUCUUCUGCGUUCCUUGACGCUAUUGACGACUUGAUUCGUACCAUGAGGGAUUGGGAACCCAUGGCCGCCGAGAAAUCCGUCAGCGCUUGUCUUGUGCGCGCUGAUGACCUGAUGCACCAGGCCAUGUUCCGAGUCGGGGAUGAGUUCAGGUCUCUUAUGGACCGAGGUGCUGAGUCCUUUGAACUGAAUCGAAGCAACCACGAGUCAACCGGGAACUUAUCGUUUGAUUCUGACGAUGACAAUGAAGAAAACGAAAAUGGACUUCUUCGCAACGGUGUGGAUCUCGAUCAUCAGAUCCCGGUAGCUCAACCGGUAACGGACUACGAUAUCGUGAUCGACGCGCUUCCCUCCGGAACCGUAAGCGACCUUCACGAGAUCGCCAAGCGUAUGGUGGCCGCAGGGUUCGUUAAAGAGUGCUCUCACGUUUACAGCACCUGCCGAAGAGAGUUCCUCGAAGAGAGCAUCUCGAGGCUCGGAUUGCAGAAGCUGAGCAUCGAUGAAGUCCAGAAAAUGCCGUGGCAAGAGCUUGAAGACGAGAUUGAACGCUGGAUCAAAGCCGCUAACGUCGCCCUUCGUAUCCUCUUCCCGAGCGAACGCCGGUUAUGCGAUCGCGUAUUUUUUGGAUUCUCUUCCGCCGCUGAUCUUUCCUUCAUGGAAGUCUGCCGUGGCUCCACCAUUCAGUUACUUAAUUUUGCUGACGCCGUUGCUAUCGGUAGCCGAUCGCCAGAGAGGCUUUUCAAAGUUCUCGAUGUGUUCGAGACUUUGAGAGACUUGAUGCCUGAAUUCGAUUCCGUUUUCUCUGAUCAAUACUGUUUGGUUCUUCGAAACGAAGCGGUUACCAUUUGGAAGAGAUUAGGAGAAGCGAUUAGAGGGAUAUUCAUGGAGUUAGAGAAUCUAAUUCGGCGUGACCCGGCUAAAGCAGCUGUUCCCGGUGGCGGACUUCAUCCGAUCACACGUUACGUAAUGAACUAUCUCCGUGCGGCGUGUCGAUCACGACAGACAUUGGAACAAGUUUUUGACGAAAGUAAUGCGGUUGUUCCAUCUAAUAAGCUAGAUGAUCGACGGGCAUCUUCGUCUUCCAUGUCGGUUCAGAUGGCAUGGAUUAUGGAGCUUUUGGAGAGCAAUUUGGAGAUGAAAUCCAAGAUUUACAGAGACUCUGCAUUGUGCUCUGUUUUCAUGAUGAACAAUGGACGAUAUAUUGUACAAAAAGUGAAGGAUAGCGAGUUAGAGUCGCUUCUUGGUGAUGACUGGAUCCGAAAACACAAUGCCAAAGUCCGGCAAUACUGCACCAACUAUCAAAGAAGUUCAUGGAACAAGAUUAUCGGAACAUUAAAGCUCGACAAUUCUUCGUUAGCAUCGAAUGUGAUUGCCAAGUCCAUGAAAGAAAAGAUCAAAUCAUUCAAUACCCAAUUCGAGGAUGUAUGUAAAACUCAGUCAUCAUGGAUUGUAUUCGAUGAGCAGCUUAGAGAAGAGAUGAGGAUAUCAGUGUCUAGGCUUUUGUUACCAGCUUAUAGAAACUUCAUAGGGAGGCUCCAAUGUAUGCCUGAAAUCGGGAGGAACACUGAUAGGCUUAUACAGUACAACCCGGAGGAUAUCGAGGCGAGGAUUAACGAGUUGUUUGAAGGGAACAAUGGAUCAUCUGGUGUCAGGAAGUAGAUGCAGAUUUCAGGUAUUCUUUUUGGUGUUGGAAUAUGAAUGGGUAAAUGUAAAAUGAUUUGCAGUAUGGUACAACACUAGAUGUUAAUGUUAUAUGCAUGUAGCACAAUCUUUUCCUGCUUUCUAUUUGUGAAUUGAAAAAAAAAAAAAAAAAAGCCAUGGAUAGUUUGCCUGUUUUCUAAUCAUAUAAUGACGUUAUUAUUAUUAUUAUUAUUUUGUAUAUAUAGCAAAUUCUAAUCAUAUACAUGAGAUAUUGAAUAUCAUGAAGAAUCCUUGUAGAGCCAUUUUCUCUUAUGGUAGUGUGCAUUAAUCAACUCCUGGUUUUCACUUCUUGGUUAAUUGGAUGGAUAAUACUUUUCAAGCUAAUCCAUAAAAUGAAGAUGCCAUUCUAUAUGGCAUUAGACAGCUUCUUUUGCAUUCAACACUAAACUAUACCUCAAUCUAAUUUCUGCUUCUUAAUUUUAAUUUUUUGUUUCCUAUUUUUUUGGUAAAUUAAGAUAAAAUUGAUACCUCUGUUCUUAUUAAAAGUGGUCAAUUUUAUCUCAUUUCAUCCAAAAAGUAUACUGCAUUGAAUAGUAAGGGGUCAUGUGACAAAAUUGAUGGUCAUAAAAAGGAGUUUUAAGGAUGAAUCUGAAAAUUUGGGUAUUGUUUAGGAAUCCAAAAGAGGGUCUUGUGCCAUUUAAAAGAUCUUUUUAAUUAGUAAACCGAAUCGUUCUCUUCUCCAAUCAAAUUAGGUGGAAAGGGGGUGACUUUAAUUAUUCAUAUGUUUUUCAGUUGCGGAAAAUUUGGUCCAGGUCCAGGUCCAUGUGGCAAAAAGAAAAAGCUGAAAGAACCUUCGGUGAAGGAAUGGAAUGGUUUCCUUUGAGUCAAAAGA